UAAAUAAAUUCUCAUCUCUGAGUUAGAGUAAACAGUCAAGACUUAAACUUACUUUACCUUCACCAUGGGACUUGUAACCGUCACUUCUGUCUUGAGAGGUUAAAAGAUAGAACAGUCUAGCCAAGUGCCAUGUCUCUUAUUCUUUAUCAGCUAUAGCUCUAGGGUUUUUUUUUUGUAGAUUUUCAAAUAAAACUCAGAGAUUUCUUGUAUGAAUCUCUCAUAUCUCUCUUUUGUGGUAUUUCUGGAUCCUUACCAAGCAUUGAUGGUAUAUGCCUUCUCUCAAGAUAUGUGGUAUUUUAUGGUAUAAGGCACAGUGAUAUUGCCUUCUCUCUCACCCUACUCUAAUAAGGCUUGAUAUCUGGAGCUCAUAGGUGGGAGACAGUUAAUACAUACUUACAAGACAUUUAUUGCAUAGUCAAGCCAUGGAUCUAGAGAAACUAAUCAAUAAGCCAAAUCAAGAUGUGCAUGUGUGGCGAAUAAAUGGUGUAUGGUGAUGAUGGUAAUAACAAUGGUGAAAGUCUAAUUCUACUUUUGCUCUUUUGAGGGGAUACAUACCUUCCUUGCUUUUUGAAACUUUAUGAGGAGAAUGAGAUGCUCUUCUUUUUCUUUCCUCUCAAGUGGGUAUCUUGUACCCCUAAUUCUACUGUCGGACACUUGUCCAUUUUUACCUCUCGUCACACUUUUCUUUCUUUCGAGGUUCCGGGCACUUGCCCCUUUUUAUUUCCUCGUUUAUAUAUAUAUAUAUUUUUUCUUUUCUUUCUCUUUUUUUAGAGCACUCAUCUCUUGAGAUAAUAUAGCAAGUGGUAGUAACCAAAAUAUUUGGAGCAUUUAUUUCACAGGGAAUAAUAGGGAUAGGAAAAUGUUUUUGACUAUUCUCUCCCGGAUUAGGAGUAGAAUAUUUUUGGGUGAUUCUGGAGAUGGAAAUGGAUGGAUAUAUGUGGAUGGUACUUCCGGAGUAGAAGUAACAUAUAUGAGUGAACGUGCAAGUGAAUCUUGAUUUAACCACAUGACAAGCUCCUAAGGGUCUACACAACUUGACCACACUCAACGCUCAUAAGCAGUAAAUAGUAAAUGUGUGGCUCAAAGUCUAGCAAGCAUGUAUAUAUGGCUAUGGUAGGAAAUUAAACUCUCAUCAUACAGGAACUCAUCAUGCAAUAUUUUAAAGAUUUUUCAAGAUAAAAUUUUCUAGAAUUCUAGCAUCUCUAGGAACAGAUAAACAACAACUCAACCUUCCCAUAUCAUAUCCGUUAACAACUUAGAUUUUAGAUCAAGUUUUCAUCCCACAAGUUUAGAUCUAGAGCAAGCUUUAAAUUAUAACAGUUAUGUCUAAACUUGAGAGGGAACUUCAAAAUUGCGAAUUAGGCAGAGCAACUAUUCAUCAUAUACAUGCUAGAGUUUUAUUAUUAAGAUUCAGAUUAGCAUAGCCACUUUAUUUAUUUAUUAAACAUACUAAGCAAAAUAUAUAUAAGCACAAAAUCUUUAUUUGGUUUUUCAUAGUUUAUGUAUUUUAAUAUUCUAACAUAAUAUAAGUAUAAAGAUAGGUAGAAAUACUUAGCGAGAAUAAUGGGGGUGCUUUCCCCCAAGCUGAAUUUUGACGUAAUUUCCCUUGAUGUAGCUAGCAGGUGGCAGAGGUGUAUUUGAAAGUCAGCAGCAUUCUGACAGCGAUUAGAAUGUCCUCCGUCUGCUAGUCUUCUUGAUUCUUAAAUUCUGUGGAGCUCAAAUAGACAACAAAGCUUGUGGAACUAAUUAAGUGUUAGCAUAAAUAUCUAGCCUUCAUCAUGUUGAGCUUCCUUAAUAAAUGUUAUUUAUUUAGCAGGAUCAUACACUUAUUAUAUAUAUAUAUAUUUAUAUAUAUUUUUAUUGUAAGAUGAAAACUUAUUUAUUUUAUUUUUAUGCCACCAUAGUGAAUGUACUUAUGGGUUUUAUGCCAUGAGCAUACUCACAUGGGGCUUACUAUUUUUUAACAUUUUUAUUUUCUUUUCAAGAUAGCAUGAACCUGAUUAACUAAGCAAAUUAUAAUUGAAUAAUUGAAAGAAAAGGGUAACUACCAAGUUUACCUCUUGGCAAGGCGUUCGAUAUUUUUAUGUCCUCUGAAAGGGACUCUCUGUUUUCUCAGUCGUCCUGGGAUUCGCUAGGUGGCGUAGUCGGUGAUUCCGGCGGCGCCUCUCUUCGUGUAUAACUAUCUUCUCCCUCCACACCUGACUCGGUGCUACGGUCUCCUCAGGACAGUUCUGUUCAAGCUGUAUGACUUCAGUCCUUAUCACUUUUCCUUCGUAGUCUACCCAUCCAUUCUCGAUGAUUUGCCUCCUCUGGUUGCGGUUGCGUCGUCUUCUUGUCCUGACUUGCUUAGAGUCUUCAACUAUAUAGUUAUGGUCAGUAAAAUAGUUGCGUACCUUCUCAGAGGGGAAGUAUAUGUGGACUUCUCCGGUUCCAAUGUAGAUGAUUGCUUUGAUAGUGUUGAGGAACGGUCUUCCAAGGAUGGUGGGUGGAUCAUAUUCGUCUUCUCCCAUGUCAAUGACCUAAAAAUCAUCUAGAGCUGAAUAUAUUGGUUGUAGGGGCAUGGUUCCAUGCAGGAGCUGAUAAGUGACUGCGGCCAUUAUGUUGUCGUCAGAUCCGGUGUCGUAGAGUGUCUUCUGAAAAGAGUAUCCAUUGAUUGCGCACUCGAUGCUUGGAACACCAGGGUCGUUCUUCUUGAUCAAGAAAGGUGACUUAAGUCGACGGUGUUGACCUCUUCCGACAAGGAUCCAAUGUUUUAAGUCUUCUGGACAAGACUUUCCACCAUCUUCAUCCUUUAGGUGCAUCAUUUGAUUAGGUGUGGACCUUGACGUCUGCACCUCUUGAUACGGUGUCACCCAUGUUCUUCUUUGCCCAGCAGCUCGAAGUAUGGUGUUGGCAAUAUCCUGCUCAGUGUGUUUGUGCUCAUAGAUCCAGGUCCUUCACUUGGUGGAGUCUGGGAGUUGUAAAACUCCUCCAUGUUUUGCUUCAAGUGUACCUAUUCAUAGAGAAAAGGCAGAGAUCAAGUGCAUGGGCUCUUACUUGAAGAGUGACGGUACAGUAUCACCUUGUGGAAGCUUUCCUUUCUUAGCGGUUGUGCAUCGUGUUUGUGGCACCCUCCAUGAAUCAUCUCUUAUGAGCCACGUCUUUCUUGUGCAAAUUGUUAAACUUCAUGUGUCACUUUCUUCAUCUCCAAUGCGAGUUUAUCUCAGGACUUCCCAGGUUGAUAUUGAAAGUUUUCCUGCAGGGGUUAGUCCAACAAAAUAUCCCAUAUCUACUAUAGCAUACUAUCGGCUUAAAAAUCAACCUAGACACCAUGUCUAAUUUGAUUUAGAAGGGAAUUUUAACCUAAGCACCAAGCUUAAUUUAAAAUCCCUUGGAAGUAAGACCAUUAUUCCUAAACUAAGCACCAUGCUUAAUUAAGAGGUAAAUGAAACUAUUCCAAACCUAGAACCUAGACAUAUACUAAAGCAAAUAAAGGUAGCAUGAGAGCAUUUAUAGAGAUCUACUUAAGUGGAGAUGAAGUAGUGUAAUUAGUAUUUAACAAAUUGAGCAUGUCUCAAAGGUAAGGACAACCAACGUAGCAACAUGGAAAAAGAUGUUUUUAUGUAAAGUACUCCCCCAAGCUUGAAUUUUACAAAAUUCAAGUUUGGAUGAAUUUAAUUCAAUGUUGUGUGAUGGUUGGUUGGACAUACCCUGUGCUUGUCAUUCAUCCGAUCUUCUUGCUCCUAUCCUGGAAAGGUUAGUGACAAGGCAAUGUUGCAAAUAAUUAGAAUUUCAUGUUAUGAUCUGAUAAGUGCUUGUUUUAGGACACUAAGCUUGUCCUUGGGAAACCAUCAAGUUAUGUUGGUGAAGUGGUUUCCCUUCCAACACCUACCUAUAUCAAGAUCAACUCAACGAGAUCUGCAAUAUUUAUUAUAGACAUAUACAUCGACAACCGCCCUUUUAAAGUUUUUAUAAAUGAAGAGGAAGAGGGGGUUGGAGAUCUCAAAUGUGGUAAGGAUGGAGAGACAAAUUGAUUGGAGAGAUGUUUUAUAUGAGCAAGGACUGGGUGAGGUAUUUAUGAAAUAACUUCCAUGCUCACUGUUGUUUCUCUCAUUCUUAAACUCCAAGGAUGAUUCUUCAUGAAUGCUUAAAAUUCCUCUAGGAUUGUCUAUCAAGUUUGUUUUAUCUAUCCAUUCAAUGGUGAUAGCCCAUGGAUUUUUAAUGCCCUCUAGCCAUUGAUGUUGCUCUUCUCAAUCCUCCUUCUUAUGCAUGGGAUGUCUAGAGAGAUUCAUAGGAUUAUUGGGAGGUUCAAGAGUGUUGACGGUCCAUAAGUAUCAAAUUUAAUUAUCAAAUAAACAAAGAAAAGGAUCCAAAUGAAAUCAACAUCUAGACUUAGGGUUUUAUCUGACAGAAUUCCACUAGUUUUGGUGUUUGUCUAUUUCUGCAGGGGGUUAUCAGGAAAUAAGGAAGAAAGGCCCACACGUCGGGAUUACAUAGAGAUAUUAAUGUGCCGCACAAUUUUCUAUCAUCUAGAAGACUCCAGAAGCCACGGGAACGAACGAGAAGGCAAACGGGCCCGGGGGCAGGGCGCCCGCCCACCCCCCUUGGGCGCCCGCCCAGGUGUUUCCACCAAUCACAGAAUGGAGUAUACCAUUGCAAAGAUCUCGUCGAGCUGAUCGAAAUGCAUAUAUUACUUGCUAUAUUUGGAGUUCGGAAUCAAGAGAUAUUAAUAAAAGAAGGACUCCAUAUAAAAGAGCUGCGGGAUUAAUUGGGCCCAAAUCAGAUUUUGGUCCAUUAAGGCCUAUGUGCAUUUUAAUGAGAUAUGGUGGAAAGUUUAGUACCACAUCGCCUGCUGAACCAAAAACGCAUAGAGGAGGAGGACUAUAUAAGGAGACCCCCUGGCCUCUGGAGAAGAGAAGAAAUUAUCAUAGAGAUUGAGGUGUGCCCUCGAAGGAAAACCUCUUCUCUAAAUAAUAUUUCUGUUUAGGCUUAGCAACCAAUGUAAAGUAGAAAUAGAUCUUCUAGUUUCUACUAGAUUGAGAGAGAUAGAGUGGAGGUGUGUAUCGGAGGAAGGCCGGCCUGUCGGUGUCUACUCCGAGUUGUACCUACGGGAUCAAGUCUCCUAACCCGAGGCUUGCUUCUAAGAUUCUUCAGUAAUUGGACUUCUAAUACUAGUAAGUUCUGAUUUUAUUGUUCUUUGGUUUAUGAGUUUACUUUAAUCCUCUUCCAGUUGAGUAUUAGAGUAAUCACUUGUUAGCGUAAACGUGGUGUUUAGGCUAGGGUACUCAUAGAUAUCCCCUGACUAGCUGGACCGUGGUAGUAGCGAGGAAUGUGACAUUUCCGAGUUACCUUUGCAGAUCACAUCUCGUUAGCAGGACGGGUAGGUUUAUAGGUGCGGGUCGAACAUCCUUUGUAUUGUCUAGAUUCCGUGAGCCUCCCCAAUAGAACAGUAGAUCAUCCUUAUUAAGGUUAGAACGAGACUAUGGUUGCAGUCUUCUCUAUACAUCACUCACAUCGAGAGACAUUCUUUGUAGCCGAAAGGGAUAGUAGCAAUAGAUUUGGUUAGUCAGAUGCACCCUUUCUCCCAGUGGUAAAAAUAUAAAUACGAUACUCUGGAAAACCUCCCGGGUGAAAUUUUCACCGAUAUCCGUGCGCUUGCGGAUCAUUUUCUAAUUGCGUUACCAAAUAUCAACAAGCAUUUCUGGCGCCGUUGCCGGGGAGAAAGACGGUUUGCUGAGAUGACUUUGAGUCUUGCUAUUAUCUUGUAUUAUACUUUUAUACUUUUAUUAUUUUAUCUUUUUAUUUUUAUCUUUAUGGAUAACUCAAAUUCCAUACCUAUUAUUAAAUUUUUUGCACCUUCGGAGACCAGCCAUAGACCAUGGGAGUCAACACGUCCUGCCCCUAAUUAUGAUCUGUGUCCGGAGUUGAUUGCAAUAGGUCAAAACCAACCCUUUUCUAUAGCCGAGGUCCUAUCUUUUAAUCAAAAAGAUAAUGCACUUUUAGCUACACCUAGGGAAUCUGUUAAUCUUUAUAUAAAUUCUGGUUUAGACCUAGGCCUACAAGACCAUGUUUUUUCUCGAUAUUUUCACAUUGAUCUUAAUCAUAUAACCUUUGGUAGAGUCCUUCUUUCUUUAUCUAUUAGUAAAGGAAGGUAUGUCUUCAUUCGUGGACAUCCUUCUUGUACUAGUCUUCAUAGAAAAAUCUUAGAGAUAGAGAAGGAAUCAUCUCCCAGACAAGGAAAGGAAGUUUCCAUAGCCAAUUUCCAAACAUUUCAAUCCCAUAACUCGGCUAUCCAUUCCAUCCUUGAGCUUAAUAAUUUCUACUAUGCUCUUUCUCUUGAACCUCCCGAUAAUCCUAUGAAUCUCUCUAGACAUCCCAUGCAUAAGAAGGAGGAUCGAGAAGAGCAACAUCAAUGGCUAGAGGGCAUUAAAAAUCCAUGUGCUAUCACCAUUGAAUGGAUAGAUAAAACAAACUUGAGAGACAAUCCUAGAGGAAUUUUAAACAUUCAUGAAGAAUCAUCCUUGGAGUUUGAGAAUGAGAGAAACAACAGUGAGCAUGGAAGUUAUUUCAUAAAUACCUCACCCAGUCCUUGCUCAUAUAAAACAUCUCUCCAAUCAAUUUGUCUCUCCAUCCUUACCACAUUUGAGAUCUCCAACCCCCUCUUCUUUUCUAUUUAUAAAAACUUUAAAAGGGCGGUUGUCAAUGCAUAUGUCUAUAAUAAAUAUUGCAGAUCUCGUUGAGUUAAUUGAUGGUUCCCCAAGGACAAGCUUAGUGUCCUAAAACAAGCACUUCUAAUUAUUUGCAACAUUGCCUUGUGUAUUGAGCAUAUAAAGAUAAUUGUAGAAAUAUUCCUUCGGGUAUUCUUGCCACUAACCUUUCUAGGAUUGGAGCAAGAAGAUCGGAUGAAUGACAAGCGCAAGGUAUGCCCAACCAAUCAUCAUGCAACAUUAAAUUAAAUUCAUCCAAUCUUGAAUUUUGCAAAAUUCAAGCUUGGGGGAGUACUUUACAUAAAACAUCCUUUGCCAUGUUGCUAUGUUGGUUGUACUUACCUUUGAGACAUGCUCAAUUUGUUAAAUACUAAUCACACUACUUCAUCUCCACUUGAGUAGAUCUCUAUAAAAGCCAUCAUGCUACCUUUGUUUAUCCUAGUAAGUGUUAGUUUGGAAGUACUGGACACACUUCCAAUGACAUUUAAAUUAAGCGUGGUGCUUAGGUUAAAUAGCAUUCCUUAAUCUGAUUAGACAUGGAGUCUAGUUUGGUUACUGAACUAAAAACUGCUUGAGUAGAUAUUGGUAUAUUUUGUUGGACUAUCCCCUGUAGGAAAACUUUCAAUAUCAACCUGGGAAGUCCUGAGAUGCAAACUCAUUGGAGAUGAAGAAAGUGACACAUGAAGUUUAACAAUUUGCAUAAGAAAGACGUAGCUCAUAAGAGAUGAUUCAUGGAGGGUGCCACAAACACGAUGCACAACCGCUAAGAAAGGAAAGCUUCCACAAGGUGAUACUGUACCAUCACUCUUCAAGUAAGGUAACAUCUUAAGGUACUUGACUAACACUUUUAUAAGCUCCUCCUUGGUUCUGGCAUUCACAUAAAUAAAGAGACAAACAUGUAUGAUUUAUAACUCUAAAUUAACCAACUCAAUUAAUUCAACAUGUUUAGUCCUUUAAUCUUUGUUCUUAGUACUACCUUCGUGACCCCACACUCCUAAUCAUAUAAGCUAAAUUAUUGCACAUGCAAUCUUUGGAAGAUAUAAACAAAACAUAAAUAUAGAUAGAUUAUCUUUCCAUUAGGUUGAGCCAUCUGAUCUGACAAAUGCUACACUCAUGAUCCAUCAACUUUGUCUUGCUCACUAUGCUUAAGGUUAGAGAAGAACAAAUACACUUUUGGUUCUGUUGGUGUUUUCCACCAAUAGGGCCCAUGCACUUGAUCUCUACCUUGUCUCUAUGAGCAGGAACACUUCGAGCAUAAUAUGAAGGAGUUUUACAACUCCCAGAUUCCACCAAGUGAAGAACUAGGAUCUACGAGCACAAACACACUGGAGAUACUGGACGCUCAGGCAAUCACUGCCCUGAGAUGCUUGAGGACGUGAACUACAUCAACAACAAUAACAACUAUUACUACAACCGUCCUCAACAACAUCAUGGUUGGAAUCAACAGAGGCCUAAUUACCCAGAGAGGUGAUCUAGGACGCCCCGUCAUCCCGAUCUCCAUCGGCAUGGUGGACUUCCCAGACACUCUGCGACUUUGGCUCCAGCGUCAACAUUAUGCCCAGGGUUGCAGAUCGGACACUCAGUUUCCCAAAGGUAAUAUUGAAGAACCUCUGCGUCCGAGUUGGUACCUUGUAUGCUCUAGCAGACUUCAUGGUGAUAGAGAUUGGUACUGAGGAGAGGGCACCCAUCAUCUUAGGGAGGCCAUUCCUAAACACUAGAGCUGUCAUCUACGCUAAUGCUGCCAAGAUCAGUCUCUACAUCAAGGGGAAGAAGGAGACUUUCCUUCAAGAACAAGACUACACAAACUUCAGAGCAACCCCGACAUGAACCAAGGAAGAGGACCAACAGGAGGAACAGGAACAAGCAAAUGUGGACCGAGUCAGCUAAGAUGGUCACUGCAGUUCAAGGAGGUCAAGAUCGUCGACUCAAGUCACCUUUCUUGAUCAAGAAGGACGACCCUGGUGUUCUAAGCAUUGAGUGCACAAUCAACAGAUACUCUUUUCAGAAGACACUUUACGACACCGGAUCUGACGUCAACAUAAUGGCCGUAGUCACUUAUCAGCUCCUGCAUGAAACCAUGCCCCUACAACCAAUAUACAUUCAGCUAUAGAUGAUUUUCAGGUCAUUGACAUGGUAGAAGACGAGUAUGAUCCACCCACCAUCCUUGGAAGACAGUUCCUCAGCACUAUCAAAGCCAUCAUCUAUAUUGGAACCGGAGAAGUCCACAUACACUUCUCCUCUGAGAAGGUAUGCCGCUGUUUUACUGACCCUAACUAUAUAGUUGAAGACUCUAAGCAGGUCAGGACAAGAAGAAGACAACACAACCGCAACCAGAGGAGGCAAAUCAUCAAGGACGGAUGGGUAGACUACGAAGGAGAAGUGAUAAGGACUGAAGACAUACAACUUGAACAAAACUGUCCUGAGGAGACCGUAGCACCGAGUCAGGUGUGGAAAGAGAAGAUAGUUAUACACGAAGAGGAGGCGCCGCCGGAACCACCGAAUACGCCACCCAGCAAAUCCCAGGACGACUAAGAAAACGGAGAGUCCCGUUCGGAAGACUUAAAAAUACCGAACGCCUUGCCAAGAGGUAAACUUGGUAGUUAUCCUUUUCCUUUCAAUUAUUUAAAAUAGUUUGCUUAGUUAAUCAGGUUCAUGCUAUCUUAAAAACAAAAUUAAAAUGUUAAAAAACAGUAAGCCCCAUGUGAGUAUACGAGUGGCAUAAAACCCAUAAGUACAUUCAGUGUGGUGGCGUAAAAAUAAAAUAAAUAUAUUCUUGCCCUAUAAAUAUAAAAAUAUAAAAAUAAAUUUACGAUCCUACUAAAGAGAGUAACAUUUAUUGAGGAGGCUCAACAUGAUAAAGGCUAGAUAUUUAUGCUAACACUUAACCAGUUCCACAAAGCAUUGUUGUCUAUUUGAGCUCCACAGAAUUCAAUGAUCAAAGAAGACUAGAAGACAGAGGACAUUCUAAUUGCUGUCAGAAUGCUGCUGACUUUCAAAUACACCUCUGCCACCUGCUAGCUACAUCAAGAGAAAUUACGUCAAAAUUCAGCUUGGGGGAGAGCACCCCCAUUUAUCUCGCUAAGUAUUUCUACCUAUCUUUAUACUUAUAUUAUGUUAGAAUAUUAAAAUACAUAAACUAUGAAAAACCCAAAUAAAGAUUUUGUGCUUUUAUAUAUAUCUUUGCUUAGUUUGCUAAACAAAUAAAUAAAUAAAGUUUGCUAUGAACACUCAUGAUAAACUCUCACAUGGAAAUGAUGAAUAGUUGCUCUGCCAUGACUAGUUCUUAAAAUUGAAAUCUCUCUCAAGUUUAGGCAUGACUGUUAUGAAGUAAGAUUUGCUCUAAAACCUGAACUUGUGGGAAGAGUACUUGAUCUAAAGUCUAAGUUGUUAACGGAUAUGAUAUGGGAAGGUUGAGCUGCUGUUUAUUUAUUCCUAGAGAUGCUAGAAUUCUGGAGAAUUUUAUCUUUGAAAAAUCUUUAAAAUAACACAUGAUGAGUUCUUAUAUGAUGAGAGUUUAAAUUCCUACCACAGCCAUAUAUACAUGCUUGCUAGACUUUGAGCCAUAUAUUUACUUUUUACUGCUUAUGAGCAUUGAGUGUGGUCAAGCUGUGUAGACCCUAAGGAGCUUGUCAUGUGGUUAAAAUCAAGAUUCACUUGCACGUUCACUCAUACAUGCUACUUCCACUCCGGAAGUAUGCAUCCACAUACAUCCACUCAUUUUCAUCUCCACAUACACCUAAAACUAUUCUACUCCUAAUCCGGGAGAGAAUAGCCAAAAAUAUUUUCCUAUCCCUGUUAUUCCCUGUGAAAUAAAUGCUCCAGUUAUUUUGGUUACUACCACUUGCUACAUUCUUUCAGGAGAUGAGUGCUCUAAAAAAAGAAAAAAAAAGAAAAAUAAUAAUAAUACGAGGAAAUAAAAAGGGGCAAGUGCCUGGAACCUCGAAGAAAAAGAAAAAAGUGAGACGUGAGGUAAAAAUGGACAAGUGUCCGACAGUAGAAUUAGGGGUACAAGAUACCCACCUGAGAGGAAAGAAAAAGGAAAUAUAGAGCAUCUCAUUCUCCCCAAAAAGCUUCAAAGUGCAAGAAAGGUAUGUAUCCCCUCAAAAGAGCAAAAGUAGAAUUAGACUUUCACCAUCAUCACCAUACACCAUUCAUUCGCCACACAUGCACAUCUUGAUUUGACUUAUUGACUUGUUUCUCUGGAUCCAUGGUUUGACUAUGCAAUAAAUAUCUUGUAAGUAUGUAUUAGCUGUCUCCCACCUAUGAGCUCCAGAUAUCAAAACCUUAUUAGAAUAGGGUGAGAGAGAAGGCAAUAUCACUAUGCCUCAUACCACAAAUACUACAUACUUUGAGAGAAGGCACAUACCAUUACUGCCUUGGUAAGGAUCCGGAAAUACCACAAAAGAGAGAUCUGAGAGAGUCAUAUAAGGAAUCUCUGAGUUUUAUUUGAAAAUCUGCAAAAACUCCAGAGCUAUAGCUGAUCAAGAAUAAGAGACAUGGCGCUUGACUUGACCGUUCUAUCUUUUAACUGCUCAAGACACAAGUGACGGUUACAAGCCCCAUGGUGAAAGGUAAAAUGAGUAAGUUUUAAGUCUUAACAGUUUAUUCUAACUCAGAGAUGAGAUCUUGCUUGAAUCUGUGUGUACUUUUAAGAAAUGAAACCACUGCAGAAACUCUCGAGUUCAUCCUUGCUCAGGGACGAGCAAGAGGUAAGCUUGGGGGAGUUUGUUGACGGUCCAUAAGUAUCAAAUUUAAUUAUCAAAUAAACAAAAAAAAGGAUCCAAAUGAAAUCAACAUCUAGACUUGAGGUUUUAUCUGACAGAAUUCCACUAGUUUUGGUGUUUGUCUAUUUCUACAGGGGGUUAUCAGGAAAUAAGGAAGAAAGGCCCACAUGUCGGGAUUACAUAGAGAUAUGAAUGUGCCGCACAAUUUUGUAUCAUCUAGAAGACUCCAGAAGCCACGGGAACGAACGAGAAGGCAAACGGGCCCGGGGGCAGGGCGCCCGCCCACCCCCCUUGGGCGCCCGCCCAGGUGUUUCCACCAAUCACAGAAUGGAGUAUACCAUUGCAAAGAUCUCGUCGAGCUGAUCGAAAUGCAUAUAUUACUUGCUAUAUUUGGAGUUCAGAAUCAAGAGAUAUUAAUAAAAGAAGGACUCCGUAUAAAAGAGCUGCGGGAUUAAUUGGGCCCAAAUCAGAUUUUGGUCCAUUAAGGCCUAUGUGCAUUUUAAUGAGAUAUGGUGGAAAGUUUAGUACCACAUCGCCUGCUGAACCAAAAACGCAUAGAGGAGGAGGACUAUAUAAGGAGACCCCCUGGCCUCUGUAGAAGAGAAGAAAUUAUAAUAGAGAUUGAGGGGUGCCCUCGAAGGAAAACCUCUUCUCUAAAUAAUAUUUCUUUUUAGGCUUAGCAACAAAUGUAAAGUAGAAAUGGAUCUUCUAGUUUCUACUAGAUUGAAGAGAUAGAGUGGAGGUGUGGAUCGGAGGAAGGCCGGCCUGUCGGUGUCUACUCCGAGUGGUACCUACGGGAUCAAGUCUCCUAACCCGAGGCUUGCUUCUAAGAUUCUUCAGUAAUUCGACUUCUAAUACUAGUAAGUUCUUGUUUUAUUGUUCUUUGGAUUAUGAGUUUACUUUAAUCCUCUUCCGGUUGAGUAUUAGAAUAAUCACUUGUUAGCGUAAACGUGGUGUUUAGGCUAGGGUACUCAUAGAUAUCCCCUGACUGGCUGGACCGCGGUAGUAGCGAGGAACGUGACAUUUCCGAGUUACCUUUGCAGAUCACAUCUCGUUAGCAGGACGGGUAGGUUUAUAGGUGCGGGUCGAACAUCCUUUGUGUUGUCUAGAUUCCGUGAGCCUCCCCAAUAGAAUAGUAGAUCAUCCUUAUUAAGGUUAGAACGAGACUACGGUUGCAGUCUUCUCUAUACAUCACUCACAUCGAGAGACAUUCUUUGUAGCCUAAAGGGAUAGUAGCAAUAAAUUUGGUUAGUCAGAUGCACCCUUUCUCCCAGUGGUAAAAAUAUAAAUACGAUACUCUGGAAAACCUCCGUGCGCUUGCGGAUCAUUUUCUAAUUGCGUUACCAAAUAUCAACAAAGAGAAAAAGCAUAGUAGAAAUUAUUAAGCUCAAGGAUGGGAUGGAUAGCUGAAUUAAGGGAUUGAAAUGUUUGGAAAUCGGCUAUUGAAACUUCCUUUCCUCGUCUGGGAGAUGAUUCCUUAUCUAUCUCUAAGAUUAUUCUAUGAAGACUAGUACAAGAAGGAUGUCCACGAAUGAAGACAUACCUUCCUUUACUAAUAGAUAAAGAAAGAAAGACUCUACCAAAGGGUAUAUGAUUAAGACCAAUGUGAAAAUAUCGAGAAAAACAUGGUCUUGUACGGCUAGGUUUAAACCAGAAUUUAUAGAAAAAUUAACAGAUUCCCUAGGUGUAGCUAAAAGUGCAUUAUCUUUUUUAUUAAAAGAUAGGACCUCGACUAUAGAAAAGGGUUGGUUUUGACCUAUUGCAAUCAACUCCGGACACAGAUCAUAAUUAGGGGAAGGACGUGUUGACUCCCAUGGUCUAUGGCUGGUCUCCGAAGGUGCAAAGAAUUUAAUAAUAGGUAUGGAAUUUGAGUUAUCCAUAAAGAUAAAAAAGAUAAAAGAAUAAAAGUAUAAAAGUAUAAUACAAGAUAAUAGCAAGAUUCAAAGUUAUCUCAGCAAACCGUCUUUCUCCCCGGCAACGGCGCCAGAAAUGCUUGUUGAUAUUUGGUAACGCAAUAAGGAAAUGAUCCGCAAGCGCACGGAUAUCGGUGAGCAUUUCACCCGAGAGGUUAUCCAGAGUUAUCGUAUUUAUAUUUUUACCACUAGGAGAAAGGGUGCAUCUGACUAACCAAAUCUAUUGCUACUAUCCCUUUAGGCUACAAAGAAUGUCUCUCGAUGUGAGUGAUAAAUAGAGAAGACUGCAACCGUAGUCUCCUUCUAUCCUUGGUAAGGAUGAUCUACUGUUCUAAUGGGGAGGCUAACGGAAUCUAGACACCACAAAGGAUGUUCAACCCGCACCUAUAAACCCUAACCUUCCUGCUAACGAGAUGUGAUCUACAAAGGUAACUUGAAAUUGUCACGUUCCUCACUACUACCACGGUCCAGCUAGUCAGCGAAUAUCUAUGAGUACCCCAGCCUAAACACCACGUUUACGCCAGCAAUGAUUACUCUAAACUCUACGCGAAGAGAUUAAAGUAAACUCAUAAACCAUAAGAACAAUAAAACAAGAACUUACUAGAAUUUAGAAGUCGAAUUACUGAAGAAUCCUAGGAGCAAGCUUCGGGUUAGGAGAACUUGAUCCCGCAGGUACAAGCUUGGAGUAAACACCGACAGGCCGGGCUUCCUCCAAUCUACACCUCCACUCUAUCUCUCUCAAUCUAGUAGAAACUAGAGGAUCUAUUUCUACCUUACAUUGGUUGCUAAGCCUAAAAAGAAAUAUUAAUUAGAGAAAAGGUUUUCCUUCGAGGGCACCCCUCAGUCUCUAUGAUAAUUUCUUCAUGUCUUCUCCAGGGGCCAGGGGGUCUCCUUAUAUAGUCCUCCCCUUCUUUGCGUUUUUGGGUUGAUAGGCGAGGUGGUACUAUGUUUUCCUUGAUCCAAUAGGUCGGUGGAACAUCCCGUGCGAAGAGAGUCCUGACUGGCAUCCAACAGGGGGCGGGCGCCCAGGUCACCAGGGCGGGCGCCCUGGGCCUGGCCCCUUUCGGCCUCCGCUUCCUUCCCGUGGCUUCUGGAGUCUUCUAUAUGGUAUAAAAUUACGCGGUGCGUUGAUAUCUCUAUGUAAUCCCGACAUGUGGGCCUUUCUUCCGUAUUUCCUAAUAACCCCCUGCAGAAAUAGACAAACACCAAAACUCGUGGAAUUCUGUCAGAUAAAACCCUAAGUCUAGAUGUUGAUUUCAUUUAGAUCCUUUUCUUUGUUUAUUUGAUAAAUAAAUUUAACACUUAAGGACCGUCAACAACCAACAUCUUGAGAAUGUUCAAAAGAAAGAAGCAAGUAUGUUGCCGAUGAAUGGUUCACAUGUUCAGCAGCGUUUGGAUCGCUGAUAUAGCACGCAGACGGAUCUGGUUCGCUUCUUCUAUCACUUUUGUAUCAUCAUUGGCAGAGCCUUUCACUGGCUUCAGCUUCUUAUUCAUCUGCAAAGCCGUGCGGGCUUGGAUGUUUCGCUCUUGCUCAAGAAGCUUGAUUGUGUCUGGCAGUUGGCUUUCUUCUUGUCGGGCUUGGGACAAGGCGUCUUCUACUUGCUUGAGUUCUGCCAACAGGGCUUCUCUUUUGGCCGAUAGAUCGGAGAUCUUGUGCUUCAAAGCAUCUCCUGAGGAUAUUAAAAUGCCGAUGUUCUUGUGCUUCUCAUCGGCAAGGAGCUUCACCUUCAUCAUUUCCUCGGAAAGCUGGGCAUGAACGGCUCUAUCGGCAAGACGUUGGGCAGCCCUCUGGUAUUGCAGCUGACGGCUCUCCAGAUGUGCAGCUUGGAAGAGGAUUUCUUCAGCAUCGGCAGGAAUUUGGCCUCUGAGGGCUUUGAACAAAGCCUUGGCUGGGUUGGAGUCGUCAACUAGUUGGGCUGUGUCUUGGUGAAGGAGGGCCGAUAAUUUGUCAAAGAACCGACCAAAUUAUAAGAGUUCAAGUGUAGAAACGAUCGACAAGCAAUCAAGUUUCCAAACUUGAGCCCAUAUAAUCCCGGUAGUCAAUUGAAAUCACGAAGGACUUCAAACCAACUUGCACAAACCAAGAUCGUAAUAAUUCAGCACAACACAGCGAAUGUUACAUACUCAUUCAUUGCCGUCGAAGCGGCACCACAUCGGAGUAUUAAGUUAUUACAACACUUGUUUGAAGUAGCGGAAGCAAAAUAGUUACACACACACUUUCCAAAGUUCAGUUCAUAAGUUCGAGUUACUGCCAGAGUCUACAUCAUCGUUUCAAAAGCAACAGGUAGGAGGUUGUUAGAGAACCGUGCCCAAUGGUUAGUCCUCAUCCCAGCGGGAUGGAGACAGGUCUUGCAGAAGCCGUCAUAAAAGAUGUCAUCUGCAACAGGUGGGAAAUAAACCCUGAGUACGAGAAUGUACUCAGCUAUACUUACCCGUCUAGUAAAACAUAAAGGCAUCAAGGAUCAUGCAAGGCUAAAAUCAAGUGGAGCUGGUUAGCUCAUCGUUUCCCAAAAGCUUACAUUGAAACUAAAUUAUUUUGAGAGCAUCAUAUUUAUUCGUCAUCAGCCUACCACUAGAUUAGCACCUGUACUACAACACAUCACUUGAUUAUUACAAACAAUAAUAACCAUAUCAAAUUCAUCAUAUGUUCUUCUUUGCUAUCAUCAUUAUCAUGAACCAAGUUCAUUAGUGAAUGCUACGUUUGCCGCUGCUCUGUCAAGUUCUCACUAACCGGGAGAGACGGCGAUUCGAAUCGAAUUCCUAUCCAGCGGGAGGGUUAUUCCUAGCACUCACCCAAGCAUCCCCCGUCGGAUAGCCAACGGGUCACCUUUGGUACAACUCAGGAAUCGUGGCUCCGAUCAGCGCCGCACUCCCAGGGCUACCACUCUGCCAGGGAGGUCAGGAAUUUUAACUCACCUGCCUUUGGGCUUACGCCAAUGGUCCCCCGCACACCGCACUUCCUCUGGUAGUGCGCACUUUAUACUUGCCGGUGUUCCGGCCUGAGUCAUACUACUCGGCUUCGCGGUCAGAACGAGUUAUCCGGUCAACUAAGUGUUAGGCAUGCGUUCAACAUGACAAGAGGACGUACAACGGUCGGUCCUUAGCUGCCACAGACGAAGUUACUACAACCUUGCAAAACUCCGCCCGGCUUAAGUCAAAUUAAUCAGGGUCCAUCCACGAUAGCACAUAUAGACCAUUGUGAUCCGACACAACCCUAUAUCGCGCAGGUGACAGGAAAUCACCCGACUUCUACCGCUUAAAGCAUGGCUAAGCUGCUACUCGAUCCUAACUCUAUAACCAGGGUGUGGUGAGUUAUCUGGACAAGGAUGGAGUAAAAUGCAGCAAGGGUGUCAUCACAACUCCUAUACUUAAUGCAUCAACAGAUAUAACAUAUUUAAGUAAACUUUCGAAAAUAAAGGGAGACUUAGAAUGCUCCGGGGCUUGCCUUUCACGAAUGAGGCAGGCUCGUGACUCGGGCACUCAACUUCUUCUUCGGGCUCCUCGAGUCCGACUUGCUGGACCUCCACCUCCGGGUUGCCCUCCUGGCCUUCGGGGUUCACUUGCAGAUCGAAGGAGGCUGCCACGUCCGAUGCACCUAUUGCAUGCUCGGUGAAUGAGAAGGUGUGCAUACAAAAGAAUGAAUGCUUAAACUCACUGGGCACUCAUUUAUGGAGCAAUAGCUAUAACAAGUUCACACAAGUUAACAAGUUAACUUAGCCCAAAACCUAUCAUGAUAGCCUAUAACAGCAAGCAUCAAACAGCAGGUUUAGCUCAGUAAACAGAUCAUAACUAUUGCCACAAAGAUCCAACAAAUUUAAGUGAGGACAUUCUGGAAAGGUUAUGAAAUUGUCUACAAAUCAUCUUUAAACAUUACAGCAAGAUUCAUAAGUUAAAGAAGCCAUUUAAACAAAGUUCCAGGUUCUGUCCUAGAAAAACAGAGAACACCUAUUUCUGGAACCUAACUUGGAAAGAUCAUAACUUCAAAACUACUGGACCAAAUGAUUCCAAAUUUAUACCACAGCUAGUUCAAUACGUUUACAACAACUUUGAUUUAGACAAGUUUCCCAGAAAACCAAGUUAUCAUUAAGCAAAAGUUAAAUUACUGCCUUGCUGUCCAGAACAGCUUUUAACCCUUUAAUUAAUUAUUUGAUGACAUAAUCAAAACAUAAACCAUGCCAGCCACAUGGCUUAUGAGCACAAGCAUAUCAUAAGACAACCAGAACAUCAGAUGAUAACCCUCAAACAUUUACUUAAUAAGGCAUUUAUUAAUUAAUUCUAGAAAGGAGCAUAAUUACAAGAUACUAGUCAAAGUGCUAAGAAAAUCUACAAAAAUUACAGAAGCACAAGUAUAACAUCAAAGCAUCACCAUAAAAAUUUCAGGGCAAUUGCACAUACCAAAUUAAAGAUAUGCAUUUAACAUAUGACAAGGUGUUUAUUUCAUAAAUUCAGAAACAUGACUUAUAUGAUGUCAAACAACAGAUUUCAGAUUAUUUACACAUUAUGAAUGUCAUAAACAAGUUUACCACCAAAGUAGAACACCAGAAUAAGCACCAAUUAUUUUAUAUGAUUUAAUCAAGGAAACAAGCCAAAUUUCAAUCAUAAAUUACAUAUCAAAGCUGCAGUACUCCAAAAAUCAUGAAAUAUUUAUCAAAGCACUCUAGUACCACACAGAGACUACCAUAAAAUUUUCAUGGCAAACUAAAUAGUAUAACCAGAGAUAUGAAUUUAUUUAUGAAUAACAAGAUUAAAUUCUUAAUAAAUAUUUUCCCAGGAAACAUGGUUCAUUUUAUAUUUUUACUAAAAAUUAGCCAUCUCAGGGAAUACCACAAAAUUGGUUUCACCAUUUUUGGAUCUCACAAACCCGAGAUCUGAUUUUUACCAGAAAGUUAAAAUCUGGAUUUGAAUAAAAGGAAGGAGGUGACCGUUGAGUCACUGGCAGACUGGACCCGCGCGUCAGUGACACCGAGAACAGAGGACUCCUUCGCCGGCAAAUGCUCGCCGACGGUGAGCUUCUCCGGCGGAUCCAAGGGCACCAACGUGCUCCUGGAGGGAUUCCGCAUCGAUGGAGGUAGGUGGUGCUAGGGUUUCGGCUACGGAGAGGGGUCGCCAUCGGCCAUGGCGGCACGGCGGAGCUACCCCGGCUUACGCCGGCCAUCUCCAACCGGUAGAGCAUCGGGAAAGGGUGGCUACAGCAUCAGUGAGUCAGCGCAGAGCUUUCGAGGUAGGAACGCCUAACCCUAACGGCUCCGGUGAGCCUGCUCACAUGCGAGGUGCUCGUCGGCGGUGAGCACGGCGGUGCGGCGGCCGUGUUCCCGCGUGACGGUGAGGUUUUAGCUGGAAUGGCGUGGUGUGGACCGACGCCAAAACCUAAGCAGAACCUAACGCUACCCAAAGAGAAGAAAGGAAGCAAGGGUGGAGCAGCGGCGAGGUUCGCCGGAAUCGGUGUCGCGACGGCCGCGAACCCGACGACGGAGAACUUGCGAAAUGCCGCUCACCUCGGGGAGAUCUCGUCCAACUGAUGGGUGGAGAAGAUGGAGGAGCUCGAGGCAGACUUGGAGGCGCUCGGAGGCGAAGCGAGACACAGAGGCGAGGGCGCGAAGAGCUUGCAAAGCUCUCGGCGGCAAUGGCGACGCCGUUUCCGCCAGAGCGAGCGCGAGAGAGAGGAAGGAGAAGAAUGGACGGGCGCUGAGUGAGUGCGGGGCGCCGUGGCGUCCGUUCCAAUGCCGUCGACCUGACGAGCGGGGCCAUCGCCGGCGUACGGGCGCCAUCUGGCGGACAGAUGUCGCGCUGGGCGUUCCCGACGGCGAGCUCCUUUCUGUAUCAGACCUCACGAUCACCGACUGAUAGAGCAACUUCGUCGAUGAUUAACUUCCAAACCAGUGCGAAUUAGGAGAUGAUGCAUUUGACAAAGUUGGAGUUCCAAUCGAGCUCUACAACAUUGUCAACUAGAGCAAGAGCCAUAUCGGUCUGCAUUGAGAGAUAUAGAGUUUUCAAAACCGAUCAAGCAAACUGGUUUCGUUCCAGGACUUAGAAAAUUUCCUAAGUGUUGGAUACAGCCCCAAAUCUGCCUUGUGGGUCAAUUUUGAGCUAGAUGUGAUCAUUUUCAUGAGAUGGCCAUAAAACAACUUUUGUUCUUAUAAAAUUUGCUACAACUUUGCUGUAGAAAGUUUUGACAUGCAAACAUUUUAUGAAACACUUUUUAAAAGCCUAAGCAAAAGAGGUUUCUAGGGCCUAUUUGCAUAAGUAUGUCUUAAGUGAUUAUUUUGGAGAAGUGAUCAACAUGAACAUUGUUCCCAAGGUUAAGUUAAGCAUAGAUAAACUAAUUACCAAGGCAUAGAGCACAAACACAAGCAUGGUUCACUCAAACAUAAGCAUAGGAAGCCUAUUUAAGCAAUUUAGAUCACCUUUUUGCAUAGAAUGACAUGGCUCAAGAUAGAUGAUGAUCAUGAUAUGCUUUGAGUAGAUGAUGAUGCUCAUGCUAUGCACAUGAUUAAUGCAACCAUAACACUAGGGUGUUACAGCCCUCCCCCCUUACAAAAAUCUCGUCCCGAGAUUUGAAAGCUUACUGAUUUUCGAAGAAUGUUUUGUAAACUUCUUUUAAAUAAUCCUCCAUCUCCCAAGUGGCAUCUUCCUCCCCGUGGUUACUCCACAACACCUUGUAGAGCUUAACCACACGAUUACGAGUCUCCCAUUCCUUGCGAUCGAGAACCGCUAUGGGUUUUUCUUCAUACACCAAGUCUGACUUCAACUUGAUAUCUCGAACUUCCACUUGUUCCUCCGGUACACGAAGGCACUUCUUUAACUGUGAUACGUGGAAAACAGGGAAAAUAGCUCGAAGCGCAACUGGGAGUUGAACUUUGUAGGCCACAUUCCCUUUCUUUUCGAGAAUCUGAUAAGGUCCCACAUAACGAGGUGCAAGCUUUCGCUUGACUCCGAACCUUUGUACACCCUUCAUCGGAGACACCUUGAUAUACACAUGGUCACCAACUAAAAACUCAAUCGGCUUCCUUCUUUUGUCGGCAUAACUUUUCUGACGAGCUUGAGCAGCUUCCAGAUGUUGCUGGAUGGUACGGACUUGUUGCUCUGCUUCGUUCACGAAAUCGAUGCCAUAAUACCUUCGCUCUCCGGCUUCUACCCAAUUCAAUGGGGUUCGACACUUUCGACCGUACAGGGCUUCAAAUGGAGCCAUCUUGAUACUCUCCUGAUAACUAUUGUUGUAGGAGAACUCAGCUAAUGGCAACCACUUAACCCAAGAACCUUUUGAAGAGAGAGCACAUGCCCUCAACAUGUCUUCUAGGAUUUGGUUAACCCGUUCAGUUUGACCAGCCGUUUGGGGAUGAUAAGCAGAGCUACAGACUAAAUGAGUACCAAUCUGCUCAUGUAGACAUUCCCAAAAACAAGUAGUGAACUGUGGUCCACGAUCUGAUACAAUAGUUCGAGGCACACCAUACUGACGAACAAUGUGCUCGAAGUACAAUUCUGCAUAUUGAUGUGGACGAUAGUCAGUUCGAACUGGAAUAAAUCGAGCAACCUUGGUCAAACGAUCUACAAUCACCCAGAUGGAGUCGUAACCCUUAACAGAAAUUGGGAGUCCAACGAUGAAAUCCAUGCUGACUUCUUCCCAUUUCCAACCAGGAAUUGACAAGGGUUGAAGUAAACCAGCUUUCAUGUGAACAGCCUUCACACGACAACAAUUAUCACAACGAGCGACAAAAGCAGCGAUCUCCUAUUUCAUCUUUGUCCACCAAAACAAAGGUUUCAGAUCCUGACACAUCUUGCUACUACUAGGAUGGAUAGACAAUUUGGAUGAAUGAGCUUCAGACAAGAUCUGAUUUCGUAGUUCACGGUCUUUUGGAACCACUAGCCGAUCUUUGAACCAAAGAAUUCCGUUCUCAUCGAGCCGGAAAUGCUUGGUUUCUUCUUCCUUCAUUUUCCUCUUUAUAUGGUGGAUGCCUACAUCUGUUUGCUGCAAUUCGAUGACUCGAUUGCGAAGAGUACUCUCCAGAGAAAUCUGGUUGAGCACAAGUGGAUGCAUAAGAUGUGACAACAACGGAUCUUCCACUUGGAUUGAGUGACAGUGCGCUUUCCGACUCAAGGCAUCCGCCACCACGUUCGCCUUGCCCGGAUGAUAGUGCACUUGUAGAUUAUAAUCAUUAAUCAACUCAAGCCACCUUCGCUGCCGCAUGUUCAGUUCCGGUUGAGUGAAGAUAUACUUGAGGCUCUUAUGAUCGGUGUAGAUAUUACACAGAUUACCCAGCAAAUAAUGCCUCCAGAUUUUCAAAGCAUGAACAACUGCUGCCAAUUCUAAGUCAUGAGUAGGGUAAUUGACCUCAUGCUUUCGAAGUUGGCGCGAGGCAUACGCGAUAACGCGACCUUCCUGCAUCAACACGCAGCCUAGACCGAUGCCUGACGCGUCACAAAAGACAUCGAAGGGCCUUUCGAUAUCAGGUUGAGCUAGGACAGGAGCUGAUGUCAGCAAUGUCCUCAACUUGUGGAAUGCCUCUUCACAUUCAGGCGUCCACACAAACCUCUCAUCUUUCUGAAGUAGCCGAGUCAUAGGCUUGGAUAUUUUUGAGAAUUCGGGAAUGAAUCGACGAUAAUAUCCAGCCAGACCAAGAAAACUCCGAACCUCGUGUACCGAAGUUGGAACUUUCCAAUCCAGCACUUCUUGCACCUUGGCUGGGUCCACCGAUAUGCCUUCUUCAGAUAAGACAUGGCCCAAGAAAGGUACUUUCUUCAGCCAAAACUCGCAUUUGCUAAACUUGGCAUAAAGCUGAUGUUCGCGCAAACGCGACAACACGAUACGCAGAUGCUCUGCAUGCUCCUCUUCAUUGCAGGAAUAUACCAAGAUAUCAUCAAUGAAGACCACCACAAACUUGUCCAAUUCAGGCAUGAACACCGAAUUCAUGAGAUACAUGAAGUGAGCAGGUGCAUUUGUAAGACCGAAGGACAUGACGAGAUACUCAUAUAACCCGUACCUUGUCGAGAAAGCUGUCUUAGGCACAUCUUCAGGACGGAUCUUGAUCUAAUGAUACCCAGAUCGCAAAUCAAUCUUGGAGAAUACCUUAGCUUUAGACAACUGAUCAAACAAGAUAUCAAUGCGAGGAAGAGGGUAUUUGUUCUUGAUGGUUACCGCAUUUAAGGGACGAUAGUCCACACACAUGCGCAAGGAUUGAUCCUUCUUCUUCACAAAGAUAGCCAGACAACCCCACGGAGACGAACUAGGACGGAUAAGACCCUUCUUCAACAACUCAUUCAACUGGGUCUUAAGCUCAGCUAGCUCACUGGGUGGCAUUCUAUAAGGUCUUCUAGAGAUAGGAGCGGUACCUGGAAUCAACUCAAUUUUGAACUCCACAUCCUGAUCCGGAGGAAGCCCGGGUAAAUCAUCAGAAAAUACAUUCGGGAACUCACACACCACCGGAAUGUCCUGAAUAGCCUUAGAUGUAACUGCAUUCACAGUGCUACGGAUUUGAAUAUCACGAGGGAGUUGCACUAGAAAUGCCUCCUUGGUAUUUGGGUCUUUCAACAUCACUACACGAGUGGUGGUGUCGAUAAGAACUCCAUUGCCACUCAUUCACUUCAUCCCCAGAAUUACAUCUAUGCCCACACCUGGUAGUACAACCAAAUCAGCAAGAAACUGACGGCCUCCUAUUUCCAGAGUUGCCCCCAAAACCACUUGAUUGGUGGAAAUAUCAUUUCCCGCAGCACUAAUACAAUAACUACUCUUAUCAAGUGUAAUUGUCUUGAUAUUAUGCUUAGACACAAAUUCGGAACUCACAAAAGAAUGCGAUGCUCCUGAAUCAAAAAGCACAAGUGCGUCACAUUGAUUGACCAGAAACUUACCUGCCGUGACUACCUCACCAGCAGGGAUGGCCUCCACGGUUGUGUAGUGAACACGCCCCUGACGGAUGUUCCCUUGGUUGCCCUUCUUUGGCGGGUAAGGACAGUUGCUCUGCCAAUACCCGGUCUGAUUGCAGGUCCAGCACGGACGGUUGGCAGGUGGAGUCUUGGCAUAGCUGGGACCCGUGUUGCCCCUAGGAAGAGCAAUAGAGUACCCCUUGUGGAAACCCGUCUUCGCCUGAUUCUUCUUCACCGGAGGGCGGUACCGCUGGUUAGGCGUUGGAGCACGGAACGGUGGCUUAGCUGCCACUGGAGCCUUGGACUGAGAUGACCCUGCUCUGGCCUCAAAAGCCCUCUUGUGAGUCUUGGUCGCAGUGUACACAGUGUUAUAGUUCUCUUGAGUGAGGGCAUCACUGACAAACUCAUUGAAAGUUGCACACUUAGUGCGGCCCAUAGUCUUCAGCAACUUGGGGCCCAAACCCCUCUUGAAACUAGCAAUCUUUUUCGCCUCAGUGUUCACAAACUCAGGAGCAUACCUAGACAAAUGAUUGAAAGCAUGCAAACACUCCUUCAAAGUUUUGUUGCCCUGAGUUAACUGCAUAAACUCCGUAUGCUUCAUCUCCAUGACACCGUGUCGGCACACCAUGCCCUGAGGAAUGAAAUGCCCUUUAAAAGCAUCACGGAAAAGAUUCCAGUCAAGCACAGUGUCGGCUGGAAGAGCUUCCCGAUACUAAUUCCACCAGAUGCCUGCCGGUCCUUGCAGUUGAUGAGCUGCAUACUCUGCCUUCAAACCUUCAGUCAACCGAAGCAAGCGGAACUUUUGUUCCGCCAUGUUUAGCCAUUCUUCAGCUUGAAGGGGUUCUUCAACUUCUCUGAAAGGUGGGGGCUUUGUAUCCAUGAAGUCCUUGAAGCUACUGUAUUGGUUAGGAGCUGGCCCUUCGUGUGCAUUACGACCACCCUGAUUCGCCAUCCGAUUGAUGGUCUCAGUGAGCAUCCUCUGAUUUUCCACCAUCAGUUGCAUUAACUCAGCAGGAUUUGGUGGUGGAGGAGGAGGGGGUGGAUUCAUGUUUGCACGCUGUUCUGCACCUCGGGUGCCAUGAGACAUCUGUAAAGACACAGUCAGUGAGCAUUGAUGAUGACAAGAUUUGUCGCAGAAGAACUUAUAUUUAUGCCUGAAAGUAUUCGAGAGAAUAGCUUUAUAGAAAAGGCACAAUAAUUCAAUUUCACAUAACAACAUCACCAAUCCAACACAUGACAGAGAUAUCCGCAAUAUGCACCACAACGGAAAACAUCGUCAUACAUAACGAACGUGUCAAGAUUACACAUUGGGUCCACAAAGUUAUUACACCAUCCCAGUACAUGCCAUGAGUCAAGGUCAAAGUUCCGGAUUACAACAUGGGUACAACAGCACCACGGCUGACUGGCAUACUCCAAAAGAUCCUCACAUAACACUACCCACUACUCCCUACACUCCAGGCUCGUCGUCCGAGUCAGCAUCGAAGAUCGCCUCUCCAUCCUCGUCGCUAACCGGCUCAAGCUCCUCGUCCUCCAUGUCCUCGUGCAAAGGUGGUGCAGCCGCUGCUGGUCCAUCGACCUCCAUACCAUCAUCAUCGGCCACAACCACCUGAGGUCCCACCUCUGGAUACAUGGGUAUAGGGCGAGGAAUAGGGUGUAGCAAGUUGUUGAGACGGUGAAUCUCCACAAGACCAGGCUCAAUCUGAUCCUGCAGAUAGUUCUCCCGCUCAAGCGACUGAACUCGGUGCAUCUCCCAUGCUCGGCGCCUGUUCUCCGACACGCGGAGUGCAGUGUCCCUCUCACGAGUGAUCUGCACCAAGCGCUCCUGUAAGGUCUCCCUCUCUCUAGCUAACUGACUCAUCUGAUCCUGCUUAUGAUCACUCUCUAAUGGCCUUCACCCACUGCUGCCUACGGUACUCCGCAAUGUCUUCCCAGUCAUUGCGGUCCUUCUGAGCUUGCUCCAGGAGUCUAGCUUGCUUGCCAAACUUGCGAGCACGCUUUUCAGCCUUCCGUUGCAUCUCCUAAGCCUGGCGAACAGCCACCACCACCUGUGCACAGGUGUCCUCUCGCUGACUGAUCAGCUUGAGCACAGCCAUCACAGCACUCAUAGCAGGACUAGAACUCUCAGCUCUCUCUCCCCAGCCUCGUACCAAGGCACAACCAUCAGCCUGUUUCCACUCCGCUGCUGCUGGGUCAGCACGGGGAAUGGAGGCCGUUGGUCCUCCUGUCAGCUCAUCGCCACACCUCUAACAGAUAUCGAGCAGGAUAGUUUGGGCUGCAACCUGACCUGCCUCCCAAGGAGUCUGCCCAACGGAGCUACAAGUCCAGCCUGUCCAUGCAGGCUUGUCCCCAUGUGGAGGGACAACUCCCUGCACAGCAAACCACUGUAUCCCUCCUGUGCUCUCCAACUCCCACCAAGAAUACUGAGGUGGCUCAGUAUACCCGACAGUCUGUAACACUCUCCAGAGCAGGGUAGGAGUGCCAAACUCGCUCAAGAAAGUGUCACUGGGACGGGGUGAAGCGGGUGCAUCCAUCUGUGGAAAGGAAUAGGAAUACCAUGGGUAAAAGAGGAUUAGUUUAAGCAACAUUUAUUUAAGUAAAAGGGAUGAAAUUGUAAGGGAAGGAGUAUACAGAAUGUAUGUAUGAAUGCGACAUGAUGCAUGCACAAACCGUACGUCCUCACAAACUUAGAAAAUUAAUAUUCUAACGGAUAUACGGUGGCAUACAUUCGUCUCUCGAUACGAUAACUAUCGAUUUACACGUACGCUGUUAAAGUACCUGCAGAAAACUUCAUUUCAGCCCAACAGUUCCCAAUAUAUCACUCAAGAAAGCAGUAAACUAAGUUCACAUUGCUUGGACAUGCCCAACAUGCACAAACAAUGACACCACAGCUACCCGAGAAAUUAAAUGCUCCCCAAUUAAGUUUCUUUCGUGGUUCCAUGGUUUUGACAUGUAACCACUCCAGAAAACCACCACGAACACUCCUCUAGACCGCCGUUUGGACGACCAUGCUCUCACAGCUCACACUUACCAGAUCGUAGGUGCGACGUUGCAAAAUUUAAAUCUAGCGACAUAUGUGGCUAAUUCACAUAUGAAGGCUACCUCCACCAUUAGACCACAGGGUAGCAUAGUGCGGUCAUCACACAUCCAUACCUGAGUACUGCCGGAGUUGCAUAAAUAAAACCCCCCAAGUCAGUACUUAAAUAGCCACCUAUAGUCCUUAUGUGGGCAAGGAGGAUUCGACCACUGGCAUAACUUAAAUAUUGAUUUGCACCAUUUUAUUUAAAAACUCUUUUGUUUUUAAAUACACAAAUGCUGCAUUUAUAAUGCUGAACUUGCUCCGAUGCUAGCUGUCACAGAACCGACCAAAUUAUAAUAGUUUAAGUGUAGAAACGAUCGACAAGCAAUCAAGUUUCCAAACUUGAGCCCAUAUAAUCCCGGUAGUCAAUUGAAAUCACGAAGGACUUGAAACCAACUUGCACAAACUAAGAUCGUAAUAAUUCAGCACAACACAACGAAUGUUACAUAGUCAUUCAUUGCCGUCGAAGCGGCACCACAUCGGAGUAUUAAGUUAUUACAACACUUGUUCGAAGUAGCGGAAGCAAAAUAGUUACACACACUUUCCAAAGUUCAGUUCAUAAGUUUGAGUUACUGCCAGAGUCUACAUCAUCCUUUCAAAAGCAACAGGUACGAGGUUGUUAGAGAACCGUGCCCAACGGUUAGUCCUCAUCCCCAGCGGGAUGGAGACAGGUCUUGCAGAAGCCAUCAUAAAAGAUGUCAUCUGCAACAGGUGGGAAAUAAACCCUGAGUACGAGAAUGUACUCAGCUAGACUUACCCGUCUAGUAAAACAUAAAAGACACCAAGGAUCAUGCAAGGCUAAAAUCAAGUGGAGCUGGUUAACUCAUCAUUUGCCAAAAGCUUACAUUGAAACUAAAUUAUUUUGAGAGCAUCAUAUUUAUUCGUCAUCAGCCUACCACUAUAUUAGCACCUGUACUACAACACAUCACUUGAUUAUUACAAACAAUAAUAACCAUAUCAAAUUCAUCAUAUGUUCUUCUUUGCUAUCAUCAUUAUCAUGAACCAAGUUCAUUAGUGAAUGCUACGUUUGCCGCUGCUCUGUCAAGUUCUCACUAACCAGGAGAGACGGCGAUUCGAAUCGAAUUCCUAUCCAGCUGGAGGGUUAUUCGUAGCACUCACCCAAGCAUCCCCCGUCGGAGAGCCAACGGGUCACCUUUGGUACGACUUAGGAAUCGCGGCUCCGAUCAGCGCCGCACUCCUAGGGCUACCACUCUGCCAGGGAGGUCAGGAAUUUUAACUCACCUGCCUUUGGACUUACGCCAAUGGUCCCCCACACACCGCACUUCCUCCGGUAGUGCACACUUUAUACUUGCCGGUCUUCCGGUCUGAGUCAUACUACUCGGCUUCGCGGUCGGAACGAGUUAUCCGGCCAACUAAGUGUUAGGCAUGCGUUCAACAUGAUAAGAGGACGUACAAUGGUCGGUCCUUAGCUGCCACAGACGGAGUUACUACAACCUUGCAAAACUCCGCCCGGCUUAAGUCAAAUUAAUCAGGGUCCAUCCACGAUAGCACAUAUAGACCAUCGUGAUCCGACACAACCCUAUAUCGUGCAGGUGACAGGAAAUCACCCAACUUCUACCGCUUAAAGCAUGGCUAAGCUGCUACUCGAUCCUAACUCUAUAACCAGGGUGUGGUGAGUUAUCUGGACAAGGAUGGAGUAAAAUGCAGCAAGGGUGUCAUCACAACACCUAUACUUAAUGCAUCAAUAGAUAUAACAUAUUUAAGUAAACUUUCGAAAAUAAAGGGAGACUUAGAAUGCUCCGGGGCUUGCCUUUCACGAACGAGGCUGGCUCGUGACUCGGGCACUCAACUUCUUCUUCGGGCUCCUCGAGUCCGACUUGCUGGACCUCCACCUCCGGGUUGCCCUCCUGGACUUCGGGGUUCACUUGCAGAUCGAAGGAGGCUGCCACGUCCGAUGCACCUAUUGCAUGCUCGGUGAAUGAGAAGGUGUGCAUACAAAAGAAUGAAUGCUUAAGUUCACUGGGCACUCAUUUACGAAGCAAUAGCUAUAACAAGUUCACACAAGUUAACAAGUUAACUUAGCCCAAUACUAUCAUGAUAGCCUAUAACAGCAAGCAUCAAACAGCAGGAUUAGCUCAGUAAACAGAUCAUAACUAUUGCCACAAAGAUCCAACAAAUUUAACUGAGGAGAUUCUGGAAAGCUUAUGAAAUUGUCUACAAAUCAUCUUUAAACAUUACAGCAAGAUUCAUAAGUUAAAAAAGCCAUUUAAACAAAGUUCCAGGUUUUGUCCCACAAAAACAGAGAACACCUAUUUCUGGAACCUAACUUGGAAAGAUCAUAACUUCAAAACUACUAGACCAAAUGAUUCCAAAUUUAAACCACAGCUAGUUCAAUAAGUUUACAACAACUUUGAUUUAGACAAGUUUCCCAGAAAACCAAGUUAUCAUUAAGAAAAAGUUAAAUUACUCCCUUGCUGUCCAGAACAGCUUUUAACCCUUUAAUUAAUUAUUUGAUGACAUAAUCAAAACAUAAACCAUGCCAGCCACAUGGCUUAUGAGCACAAGCAUAUCAUAAGACAACCAGAACAUCAGAUGAUAACCCUCAAACAUUUACUUAAUAAGGCAUUUAUUAACUAAUUCUAGAAAGGAGCAUAAUUACAAGAUACCAGUCAAAGUGCUCAGAAAAAUCUACAAAAAUGACAGAAGCAUAAGUAUAACAUCAAAGCAUCACCAUAAAAAUUUCAGGGCAAUUGCACAUACCAAAUUAACGAUAUGCAUUUAACAUAUGACAAGGUGUUUAUUUCAUAAAUUCAGAAACAUGACUUAUAUGAUGUCAAACAACAGAUUUCAGAUUAUUAACACAUUAUGAAUGUCAUAAACAAGUUUACCACCAAAGUAGAACACCAGCAUAAGCACCAAUUAUUUUAUAUGAUUUAAUCAAGGAAACAAGCCAAAUUUCAAUCAUAAAUUACAUAUCAAAGCUGUAGUACUCCAAAAAUCAUGAAAUAUUUAUCAAAGCACUCUAGUACCACACAGAGACUACCAUAAAAUUGUCAUGGCAAACUAAACAGUAUAACCAGAGAUAUGAAUUUAUUCAUGAAUAACAAGAUUAAACUCUUAAUAAAUAUUUUCCCAGACAACAUGGUUCAUUUUAUAUUUUUAUUAAAAACUAGCCAUCUCAGGGAAUACCACAAAAUUGGUUUCACAAUUUUUGGAUCUCAGAAACCGGAGAUAUGAUUUUUACAAGAAAGCCAAAAAUCUGGAUUUGAAUAAAAGGAAGGAGGUGACCGUUGAGUCACUGGCAGACGGGACCCGCGCGUCAGUGACACUGAGAACAGAGGACUCCUUCGACGGCAAAUGCUCGCCGACGGUGAGCUUCUCCGGCGGAUCCAAGGGCACCAACAUGCUCGUGGAGGGAUUCCCCAUCGAUGGUGGUAGGUGGUCCUAGGGUUUCGGCUACGGAGAGGGGUCGCCGUCGGCCAUGGCGGCACGGCGGAGCUUCCCCGGCUUACGUCGGCCACCUCCGGCCGGUAGAGCGUCGGGGAAGGGUGGCUACAGCAUCAGUGAGUCAGCGCGGAGCUUUCGAGGUAGGAACGCCUAACCCUAGCAGCUCCGGUGAGCCUGCUCACGUGCGAGGUGCUCGUCGGCGGUGAGCACAGCGGUGCGCCAACCAUGUUCCCACGCGACGGUGAGUUUUUAGCCAGAAUGGCAUGGUGUGGACCGACGCCAAGACCUAAGCAGAACCUAACGCUACCCAAAGAGAAGAAAGGAAGCAAGGGUGGAGCAGCGGCGAGGUUCGCCGGAAUCGGUGUCGCGACGGCUGCGAACCCGACGACGGAGAACUUGCGAAAUGCCGCUCACCUCGGGGAGAUCUCGUCCAACUGAUGGGUGGAGAAGAUAGAGGAGCUCGAGGCGGACUUGGAGGCGCUCGAAGGUGAAGUGAGACGCAGAGGAGAGGGCGCGAAGAGCUUGCGAAGCUCUCGGCGUCAAUGGCGACGCCGUUUCCGCCAGAGCGAGCGCGAGAGAGAGGAAGGAGGAGAAUGGACGGGUGCUGAGUGAGUGUGGGGCGCCGUGGCGUCCAUGCCAACGCCGUCGACCUGACGAGUGGGGCCAUCGCUGGCGUACGGGCGCCAUCUGGCGGACAGAUGUCGCGCUGGGCGUUCCCGACGGCGAGCUCCUUUCUGAAUCAGACCUCGCGAUCACUGACGGACAGAGCAACUUCGUCGAUGAUUAACUUCCAAACCAGAGCGAAUUAGGAGAUGAUGCAGUUGACAAAGUUGGAGUUCCAAUCGAGCUCUACAACAUUGUCAACUAGAGCAAGAGCCAGAUCGGUCUGGAUUGAGAGAUAUAGAGUUUUCAAAACCGAUCAAGCAAACUGGUUUCGUUCCAGGACUUAGAAAAUUUCCUAAGUGUUGGAAACAGCCCCAAAUCUGCCUUGUGGAUCAAGUUUGAGCUAGAUGUGGUUAUUGUAAUGAGAUGGCCAUAAAACAACUUUUGUUCCUUAUAAAAUUUUCUACAACUUUGCUGUAGAAAGUUUUGACAUACAAACAUUUUAUGAAACACUUUUUAAAAGCCUAAGCAAAAGAGGUUUCUAGGGCCUAUUUGCAUAAGUAUGUCUUAAGUGAUUAUUUUGGAGAAGUGAUCAACUUGAACAUUGUUCCCAAGGUUAAGUUAAGCAUAGAUAAACUAAUUACCAAGGCAUAGAGCACAAACACAAGCAUGGUUCACUCAAACAUAAGCAUAGGAAGCCUAUUUAAGCAAUUUAGAUCACCUUUUUGCAUAGAAUGACAUGGCUCAAGAUAGAUGAUGAUCAUGAUAUGCUUUGAGUAGAUGAUGAUGCUCAUGCUAUGCACAUGAUUAAUGAAACCAUAACACUGGGGUGUUACAUAAUUCUUCCAAUUUUGCCCUGAUUUCUGCCGAUGUGAUCCCGACUGCCCGAGAACAGCUUGCUUCCUCACCUUCAUCUUCGGAGAUGUCGAUGGCGAAAGAGAACAAACUGUCGGGAGAGUCCUGCUCCUCAAAAGAGAUAAAACGAGUUAUUCUAUGGUCAGGUAUUGAUAAAUGAUACAGACAGGGAUUGGAUGACUUACUUGUUUCAGGGCAAUCUCUCGCCUCUGACUGAAGAUGCCGAUGGAACCAUAGGUUGAUCGGCUGGGGUUGCCAAUGGAACUAUGUCGGCUGAAAGAAUAACAGAGAUAAUUGUAAGCCAGAGGAAAUGGUUCAUCGGCAAUGAUUUCAUAGAAAGUGUGUUACCUCGAGGGGAAGCAAUACUUGUCUGGAUGGAAGAAACUACCGAUGCUAUAAUUGAGCCCGCUGGAUCGGCAGUUUGCUCAUGCACCUCAGCCGAUGUGUCUUCUGGCUAAGGAACUUCUGGUUGGGGUUCUUCUGGUUGGAGUUCUUCCACUUGGGGUGCUUCUUGCAAGUGAAGAGGAGAUGGUACUUGUUGCGGAUGGACGUCUGGAGAGGAAGGAGAAGACUCCACUGGGAUUGGAGACACUGGGGGAGGAGAAGGUGUUGCUGUCUUUUGGCACUUUGCUUGUGCUCUAGUACUCUUGGCACCUUUUCACUUCGACUGACUAGACUGGGGGGCAUCGGCACUUUUGCUUCUGGUCCUUGCCGAUGCGCCGGUGUGCUGAUACAGAGAGGGAAAUUUGUGAGUACAAGUGUAACCGAUGUAAGAAUGAGAUCGGUAUGAAAGAGUUUGAAGAUAUACCUUGAAAGCCUGUGCCAAAGUAGAGGCAGCUACCGAUGGAGAUGUCUUAGUCCUCUUGGUAGUGACUUUCUUGAGGCAUACGCCUUGAUGCAUGAUGGCAGCCAAAGUGGGAGCGUUGUUGCCGAUUGAAGAGAUUGGACCUGAAGGAAAUAGAUCAAUCGGCUUACCACUCCUGCUGACCGAUGGGGGGACAUUGUCGACCUGUGAUACAAUAUGGAAAGUAAGCUACCGAUAGAAGUAAAAGUGAAAGAAUUGAGACAUCGGUUUGGAAGUACUUACAGUAUUAUCGGGGACUUUGUACUGGGGGUCAAUCAUGCCGCGGUACGUAAGAGCCGAUUUGCAGAACAAAUGCUCCUUCCAUUCUUCCCACCAUUGUUUGUACGCCUGAGUGAUGAAGAGGGCUGGGAUCCACUCUGAUAAAUCUGCAUCUGUAUCGGCACUCGGCGGCAGUUGAGCUACUCGGGUCCACUCAAGAAGGCUAGUGAUGGUCUCCCUGGGUUUUAUCACAUCGACACAACAAAGAGCAAUCGGUAGCUGACCAAAAGCUAGUUGAUGGGCUAGUGCCGAUGGGUUGUAGAACUCAUAAGUCUGGUUGGAAGCUUUCCCACAGCCAAAGAAAUUUACUGGUAUAACUCUGGGAGUGAUCAGUGCCAUCAUCACAUCAUGAUCCUUGUUGAGAGCGUCAUUGAAUGGAUGGAAAACCAAAGGAAACAUGGUAUGUGGAUCUUCAUAAGGCAUCCACGCUCGCUGCUCUCUGGUCAGGCCUUCAUACAAGGUUUGGAAGAAUCGGCUGACCUGAUCUGCGUUGCCGCCAGUGCCAGGCCGAACUAUGACAGCCUCGCCAAAGUUCAGAGGAGGGCGAGUUGACGAUUCUUCUUCAUCUAAUUUAUAAUCCUCGGCUAUGUCCCUGGGGAAGCGUUGUGAGAAGAGGUUGAACUCAAGACGCUUGUUUAUAUGGAGACUGAGCCACAUAUUGAUAAACCACCAGGGGCCCGCUAGGUUGCCGAUGGAUUGACCAAGUAGGAGUUUUCUGGCUACUUGGUGGAGGAGGUGGUAAACUGAGCCAAGCAGGUAUCGGCCGAGGGGAAAUCGGCCACCAUUAGCUAACCUCUCUGCUGCCCAUAGGUAGACAGAGGUUGGUCCUGCCGAUCGACCGCAGAACACGAAUUUGUCCAGCAACAUAUUCAGGAAGGUGGUUUGCUCUUUUAUGUUAACAGGCCCCGUUCUACGAUACUUCUGAAUGUAUCGAGACCAGCCGCCGAUAGCACAGGUUUCCACUUUGGCGCUAGGCGUGGUGUCGAACAAGUGACUGCUAUCAGCAGUGGAUACAUCUAAGCCGGUGAGCAUAAGCACAUCGGCAAGAGUAGGAGAAGCAGGGCCGUGACCAAAGACAAAGGCAUUGAGUUUGUCUGACCAGAAAUAUGAUGCAGCUAUCAGCAGUGACUCAUUCCUAUGCACAUCGGCAAUGGACAAUCUGAUGCAUUGGUCUAAUUUUCUCUCACCCCACUGGACUUCGUUUGUGUGGCUAACUCUCAAAAACCAAUCCUUCCAUCCCACGGUAGGACUGGGCCAGGAACGGGAAGUAUCCUUCCACAGAUCUAGAGAAAAAUUCUUGGCUCUAAAGGGGAUUCUGUUUGUUUCUGCGUUAAUAAGAUCGGUGGGAUCUGGAUCCCCUAACGGACCAAGACAUUGGAGAUGUGGCUGAUCGGUAGGGAUGACAAUUUUAUUGGACAGAUCCUAAUGGUUUUGAGGGUAAAAAGAAGAACAAAAAAAAGAAGAAUGUUCAGUAAAAUAAAUUGCGGAUGAACAGAGAUAUGGCAAAAAGUACAAGGAGUAGGGUGAUGAACUGACCUCGGAAACAGCGAAGUUGAUGGCCAUCUCCUUGCAAACAAGGGGAUCGAAGACUUUGAGGUUGGUCAAGAAAGGGCUUCGUUGGAGUUCCUGAAGCUCCCAAAAGGCGUCGCCGCUAGAAGAAUGGAGUUGGGGCUGUAGAAUGAUGUGAUAGGGAAGGAGUACCCGAGAAGGAACUAUUUAUAGGACAAAGUGGGCAAGGGUAAAUCUGACUUAUCACUUCGCCGUAUCCAUGAAAUCCGAGGAUACUUAGGAAAAUGGUAACUGUUCGCACGGUAAUCAAGGGAUUGAGAAGGUGAUUUGACAGGAAGUGGUCGUGAUCUAGAGAUAUUUUACUGUGCGAGAUUUCCUGGUCGGUCCAUCGGCAGCGUUUUGUAACAGUAAUAUUGCCGAUGGGUGACUAAAGUGGAGAUGUUCGUUUGGGAGGUUGAGGAUUUCGAGGAAUCUGCGGAGGAAUCGGAUCAGGGUUGUUCAGUGUAAGGCUAUCGGUUACCAAAUUGGGAGAAUUAAUUGCGGAAAGGCAUCAUUACUGCAGAGAAUUUCGCAGCAUUAAUGAUUUCAUACUCCAAAAUUGGGGGGGCAUGUGUUGACACCGUUUUUGGGCACGUAUCCAUGAUCGGUAGAGUGUAGGUUGGCAAGAUAAGGCGGUAAUACUUGGUCUGCAGGAUAAGUUGCCGAUGAGGAUGGGUGCCGAUGAAGAGACAGCUGAAUGUGACCAAGUCCAUAAGUGGUGAUGUGUUUGUGCUGAUGCUCCGGGUUAAUCUGUGCCGAUGGCUACAAUGAGGAAGUCUGCCGAUGAUACGGAGGAAGAGCCUGAAGGUUGCCGAUUGACCUGUGGAGGUGUCCCAGUUUGUCACGGGAGGAUAGUUUUGUGUUUUCCUUAGUUAUUUAGAUCGUUUUGUAUACGGAUUCUGUUUAAUUUGGAAUUCGAGUUCUAGUCGUGUCUGGUUCUAGCUCUUCGAGCCGGGUAUAAAUGUAGACCCUGGGGUUUUGUAAUGGAUCUAUCAAUCAAUUAAUCAAGCACAAGCUUUUACUCAUAUUCCAGUAUUUACUUUUUCGAUGACUUCAUCAUAUUUUCCUUUUUCAUUACGAGUUCUUAGGAGUUCGUCGACUUAAGCUCGGCGUAUUCUCAAGUUCCGCGUGAAUACCUCUUGGCCGUGGCAUCCGGGCGCAUCACUGUUGUCGGGACCAAAGUAUUCGAGUUAUCACCUUUGCCGAUAGUGAGGUCAAAUCGGCUGGCACGCCUUAACGUUUGAAUCGGGUAUUAGCCCUUUGUGUUUGCAGAUCAUCUUUUGCAUCAACAACAUCCAAAAUUUGCUCUCAAGCCAAAAAUCUGUGUUGUUUCUACACUUAGCCGAAUUUGGCUAAGUCUAGGAAUUGGCAGUUUCGACAUAGGGUGAUUGGGAGCCUUGUAGAUUGAAAUCCAGACCGAGUUAGGCUUUGAUCUUGUAAGCAAACAUGUAGAACUCGUGUAGCACUGUCCAAAGGAUCAAGUUUGAGCCAAAACCACUGAGUGAGCUGAGAGUAAAUCGCCGGUGAACUUUCAGUUUCAGACACGGUCGACGACGACUGAAUCGCGCGAUUCAGUUUCGUCAGUCGCCGGCCGGCCGACGCGUGAACGACCCGUGGCGGCCGUACGUCGACGGCGACCCCGCCUGUCAGCCCCGACGCCUUCACCUGGACGCCAUGACGCCACCCCGUGCCUCAGACGCGACACCCACUCCACCAGAGCCUCCCAUUUCGCUCCGCCAUCGCCUCGGUGAGCUCCGCCGCGUUCCGGCGAGCUUCUCCGGCCGUUCCACCGCGCCUCCGGCCAAGCCAGCCCGCCCAGAGCUCUGCCUCGACGUUCUCUACCUCGGCGUCACCUUCUUGGCCUCUGUCGAGCACAGGUGAGACGGCAUUGCCGAGCUCCGAGCUGUUCUCCCUCGCCGGAGUUCCGCCCGAGCUCACCGGCAACGUGGCCAGGCCUCUCGGCUCCACCAUUUUCCUUCAAUCUUGUUCCUAUCGCUGCCCCUUGGCUCACUGAUGCUCGGCGUGAAGCUCUACCACGUCGCCAUUGCCUAGAUCCGCUGGCGUAACGUCGCGCAGCGCCGCCGCUCCACCAUUCCCGACGGCGAGCACCCUAGAGUCCAGUAGAGCGCGGGUAAAGUAGGUCAACAGAGUCGCCUUGAUGAGAGGAACACGUAGAUGCCCUUGGAUCCGGCCAAGACCUCGUCGUCGCUGAGCUUCGCCGGCGACGAGCAUCUCCCCUGUCUCUGUCUCUCUGACGCACGGGUCCCGGGUGUCAGCCUCUCCCUCUCACACCCCUGGUUUACUGUUUUGCAGAUCCAGUGUUGAUUUUGAAAAAUUUAUAUCUCGAGUUUUAUAGAUCCAAAUGACAUGGUUCCAGUUUUGCUGAGCUCUGGUAGUCAUCUAGUUUUUAAUAAAAAUACAAAACAUGCCAUGUUUUGUGGAAAUAAUUAGAUACAAAUUAAUCUUGGAUUUUUACGGGGUAAUUAUAUCUGAAGAUCUGUUGAUCUGUUGGCCAUGCAAAUUUAGGGUGUUGUUACUAAUGAUAUGAAUAGGCUCUGAUAAAUUUAUCAUGAUUUUUGGAUGAAUGAUUGUGAAGUUAUAAAUAUUUCUUGUUCAAAUAGGAGUUUCUUGUGGUAUUUUUAAUAAAUAAAUUAUGACUCCUUUGGUGGUGAAAUUUGCUAAGUGUUGUACUCAUGUGUAGAUAAAGCUAGGAAAAAUCUGAAAUCUGUUGUUUGGCACUUUUUGAUAAGGUUUCACAUUUAUGCCUUGCAUGCCUUUGUUAGCUUGUUAUUUUUGUAUCUCACAAACUGUAUGUUCAAGUGCCCUGAAAAUGUUACAGUAAACUUGUGUUAGCAUAGGUAGCUUGCUGUAAUUUUCUUAGGAAUUUUGGAGCACUUGGAAUGCAUGUUCAUUAAAUCACAUUAAUAAUUAAAUAAAUGAAAAAGGUGAUGAUAGAAAUGAGUUUAGACCUUGCCAUGAUGUUUUCUAGUGGUUCCUAGACAUGUUCUACCCAUUGGUGCAUUUGGAUUGACCCUUUGAUACAUUCUUGUUAUGUGCAAAAUAUUAUUUUUGCUAUUUAUGCCUUUCCUAGAGCAAUUCUGUGUAGCUGAUAGCAAAUGCUUAAGAACUAAUUAAAGAUCAUAUUUUCUGGGAAACUUGUCUACAACAAACUUGUAGCUAACUUGCUUAUCCACUUCGUGUCCAAAUUUCAUGACAUUUGGUUGAGUAGUUUACAAGUUAUGAAUAUUACAUGUAGCUGCUGCAAAGUGCUUCCUCUCUGGAUUUUCCAGAACAGCCAGCCAACUUUGUAUGUUUUAGCAUAUUUCGGUUGGGAAUCUUUCUGGGAUGUCUAAACGUGAAUUGUAGACAAUUUUAUAAGAUUUCCAGAGAGUAUCUACUUGCUUAGUUUAGCUAACUGAUGCUUAAGUUAUGGCUGAAACUUGUGACAGGUUGGUUUGUCUACUAAACCAGUGACUGAGUAGGAGUAGCUAGGAUUGUUUGACUUGUCUAGUUAGCCUCUCUACCAGAGAAGAAGUAUGCACUUACUUGUUAUUACAUGAUUCACUUAAUCUUAAGAGUUAUGUUCAUGAUUAUACCAUGUUUAUGCUCCUUAGGCUCUUCAUAAUGACAUCAUGCAUCAUAUAUGCAUUCCCUAUAGUUAUGUCCUUGUCAUGCAUACAUAGGUGUACCCAAGGGCGUGACCGUGUUGGAGUUCGAGCUGCCGGAGUCGGAAGGACAGCAAGGGGAGCUACCUCAAGGAGCUGAGGAGGAGGAGGACUUGCCGGAGUGCCCUGAUCACCGUCCCUCUACUUACGUCGAAGGCAAGCCCCGGAGCAUUAUAAGCCUCCUACUAUUUUGUUAUCAUGAUCAGCUAUCAAUUGACUAUGGUUAUGUAUUGUUGCAUUAAGUGUUAGGCAUUGAUAUGACACCCUUGCUGCAUAAUGACUACCUUGUCCACCUCAUACCUUACCUGAGUAGGUCCAGGAUCGAAAUGAUGCUUAGCCACGCUUAGCUCGGUACAAGCCGGGUGAUUUCCUGUCACCUGCGAGAGAUAGGUGGAUGCUGAUCACGGUUGGCUAUAUUUGCUAUCGUGGAAAUAACCAUGUGCUAUCAAUGAACUUGAGACCGGGCGGGAUGACGAUAGUGCAGCAACAAGGCAUGGAGGUCUUGGGUGUGAAUCUAUCCCCGUCUGUGUCGUUUAAGGACCGUAUCGCUGUACGUCCCCGUGUCAUGUUGAACGCAUGCCUAUCACUUAGCUGGCCGGAUAAGUCGUUCCGACCGCGAAGCCUACGAGUGCAACUCAGGCCGGAUACCCCGUUCUGUAUGAGUACGCACCCCGGUUGGUAGUAAGUAUGUGCGGGGAGUCAAUGGCGUAAGUCCGAGGUGUCAGGUUAGAGUCCUGACCUUGGCAGAUUGGCGGUCCCUGGGGGUGCGGCGCUGGAUGGACGUGCGAAUUGGUCCGGAGUUGUGCUAAAGGUGAUCCGAGCUGCCCUCAUGAAGUAUGCUUGGGCGAGUGUUAGGAAUACUCCUCCAGCUAGAUAGGAAUCGAUUCGAAUCGCCGUCUCUCCCGGAUAGUGAGAACUUGACUUGGGCAACGGCAACGUAGAAUUCACUAAAUAAACGUAAUGGUUAUGAUGAGAAUGAUGAUAGCUAUGUGAAAAUCUAGAUAUGGUUAUUAUUGUGAUGCUUAAAUACUCAAGUGUAUGCUUAGAUUAGGUGCUAAUCUAGUGGAUAGUUGUUAAGUAAUGAACCUGCUGCUGAAAUAUGAUAAAUGGGUUACUUACAACAAAGGCUUCUUAUGCAAAAAGGUGAGUCAAACCAGUCCACAAAGAUCAGCCUUGCAUACACCUUGGUGUCACUUUAUUUUGGUUUAAGACGGGUAAGUCUAGCUGAGUACCUUCUCGUACUCAGGGUUUUAUUUACCCCUGUUGCAGAUGAUGUCGUGUAUCACGGCUACUACGCUAACUGCCAUCAUCCGGCUGCGGACGAUGAAUAGAUCAUGGGCAUGAUCACCUUCUCUAUCUUCAGUUGCGCUUUUGUUGGGACUUGACCACGGAACUGACAUGUAAUAUAAACUGAGUUUGUGUUGUUUUGAAACUACUUUGUUUCCGCUACUACUAUGGUUUGUAAUAACCACUUUUAAACUCUGAUGUGAUGUAAAACUAUAUUCUGUGAUGAAUGUGUGUAAUCUAUGAUGGUGAUGCUUGAUCAUGUACGAUCUUGGUUGUAUGUUGGUUAAAUCGAGGUCUUUUGAGAUUUCGUCGGACUACCGGGUUUAUAUGGGUUCAAGUCCAUUGGCUUGACUGCCUCCGUGGUCGCUAAUUCACUUGAAUUCUUAUAAAUUGGACGGUUCUGUUACAACAUGUGUAUGCAGGACACUAGGGUUUUGUUGACGGUCCUUAAUGCUCACAUUUAACCAUCAACUAAUCAUGGAAAAGGAUCCAAAUGCAACCAACACCUAGACUUAGGGUUUUAUCUGACAGAAUUCCAUGAGUUUUGGUGUUUGUCUAUUUCUGCACGGGGUUAUCAGGAAAUACGGAAGAAAGGCCCACACGUCAGGUUUACAUAGAGAUAUUAACGUGCCGCGUAAUUUUCUACCAUCUAGAAGAAUCCAGAAGCCGCAGGAACGAACGGGAAGGCGAUCGGGCACGGAGGCAGGCCGCCCGCCCUACUCUCCUGGGCGCCCGCCCUGCUACAGUGCCCAAUCAGGGUCAACUUCGCGGAUCGUGCUCCACCGACUUUAAGGAUUGAGGAAAAUCACACGAUUAAGGUCGGUUUGAUCGGAUGGUGGAGAAUAACGUGGAAAUUCCUUGGGAGCUACUCUUCCUAGAUUUCUUGGGGGCUACUCUUCUUGGACUAUAUAAGCAGACCCCCACCAGCCCCUGGAGGCAUACCUCUUCUAUAGAAUCAAAGUUAGGGUUUCAAUUCUUCAUUCAAGUAGAGAGGAUCCCUCUAGUUCUUCUAGUUCUACCUCUAGUUCAUCUAGAUCUAGUUCUAGUUCAUCUAGUUCUAGUUCUAGUUCCUCUAGUUCUAGUUCUAGUUAGUUCUAGUUGUAAUCUAGAAAAUAGGGAGAGAGAAGAGGAGAGUGGAGGAGGAGCCGGAUCUGUCGGAUCUUCCUCAACAUUGUACUUUUGCAGCAACUGGUUCGUUCUUCAUCGUUCUCCAGGUUCUUCAACUCAUAAUUCCUGAGUUCUUUAAUUACUUUUAUUUACAUUCAAGUUAUUUAUUGGAUUCCCGCUUGCAUCAAGUGCUCUAAUCUUUGAAACAUUAGAGUAGUAAUUAAUAGAUUAGACGUGGUGUUUAGUCUUGCAAUUACCUGGAAUUGCACCCAAUCCUGCGGAUUGUUGUGGUAGCCUUAGGGUAGUGACAGCCCUAACGGUCGACGUAUUCCACCUCGUUCGGAUCGGUGUUUGUAGGACCGUAGUCGGAGCUUCCUAGCCCCCUUCUCAUCUCUUUCUGUGGUUAGUGUUCUGAUGUCCUGAAAUAGAUAAUCUUGAAGUAAUUCUUGAUUCUUAGAUCAACUAGAGAACUCUCAGGAAACUUCCUCUCUUCCCACCAAAAACAAUUAUAUAGUUAUCCUUGGGCGUUCUUGAUUCUUAAUUAGUACACUCAUGUUCUCUGUGGAAAAUUGAUACUCUGGAAUACUCCCGGGUGAAGGCUACAUCGGUAUCCGCGCGCUUGCGGAUUUUUCUGUUUGCGUUUAAAAUACCCAACAAGCUUUCUGGCGCCGUUGCCGGAGAACGGUAGCUGUGCUAGUAUCGAACCAAGUCGUCCGUGUAUCCUUUUUCUUUUCCUUUUCACCACACCACAUGGAUUUCACUCUAAGCAUUAAUGAGCAUGGAAUUUAUUUCAUAGCCACUUCAUUUACUCCAUGCUCAUAUGCAACAUCUUCACAAUCCAUUGGUCUCUCCAACAUCACCACAUUCGAGAUCUCCAACCCCCUCUUCCUUUCUAUUUAUAAAAAACUUUAAAAGGGCGGUUGUCGAUGCAUAUGUUUAUAAUAAAUUUUGCAGAUCUCGUUGAGUUGAUCUUGAUAUAGGUCAGCGUUGGAGGGGAAACCACUUCACUGACAUAAAUUGAUGGUUUCCCAAGGACAAGCUUAGUGUCCUAAAAUAAAGCACUGAUUAGAUUGUAACAUGAGCUUUUAAUUAUUUGCAACAUUGCCUUGUGUAUUGAGCAUAUAAAGAUAAUUGUAGAAAAAUUCCUUUGGGUAUUCUUGUCACUAACCUUUCCAGGAUUGGAGCAAGAAGAUCGGAUGAAUGACAAGCACAAGGUAUGUCCAACCAAUCAUCAUACAACAUUGAAUUAAAUUCAUCCAAACUUGAAUUUUGCAAAAUUCAAGCUUGGGGAAGUACUUUACAUAAAAACAUCCUUUGCCAUAUUGCUAUGUUGGUUGUCCCUACCUUUGAGACAUGCUCAAAUUGUUAAAUACUAAUCACACUACUUUAUCUCCACUUGAGUAGAUCUUUAUAAAUGCUCUCAUGCUACCUUUAUUUGCUUUAGUAUAUGUCUAUGUUUGGAGUAGUUUCAUUUAUCUCUUAAUUAAGCAUGGUGCUUAGUUUAGGGCUGAUGAUCUUACUUCCAAGGGUUUUUAAAUUAAGCAUGGUGCUUAGGUUAAAAUGCCCUCCUAAAUCAAAUUAGACAUGGUGUCUAGGUUGAUUUUUGAGCCGAUAGUAUGCUAUAGUAGAUAUGGGAUAUUUUGUUGGACUAACUCCUACAGGAAAACUUUCAAUAUCAACCUGGGAAGUCCUGAGGUAAACUCACAUUGGGGACAAAGAUAGAGACACAUGAAGUUUAACAAUUUGCACGAGGAAGGCAUAGCUCACAACAGAUGAUCCAUGGAGGGUGCCACAAACACGAUGCACAACCGCUAAGAGAGGAAAGCUUCCACAAGGUGAUACUAUACCAUCACUCUUCAAGUAAGGUAAUACCUUAAGGUACUUGACUAUCACUUUUAUAAGUUUCUCCUUGGUUCUAGCGUUCACAUGAAUAAAAAGACAAACAUGUAUGAUUUACAACUCUAGAUUAACCAACCCAAUAGAUUCAACAUGUUUAGUCCUUCCACCUUUGUGAUCCCACACUCCUAAUCUUAUGAACUAAAAUGUUGCACACUCAAUCUUUGGAAGAUAUAUUUUGUAAAAAAACAACAUAAAUAUAGAUAGAUUAUCUUUCCAUUAGGUUGAGCGAUCUGAACUGACAAAUGUUUUUAAUGUUACACUCAUGAUCUUAUUAUCCAUCAACUUUAUCUUGCUCACUAUGCUUAAGGUUAGAGAGAAUAAAUACACUUUUGGUUCUGUUGGUGUUUUCCACCAACAGAGCCCAUGCACUUGAUCUCUGCCUUGUCUCUAUGAGCAGGUACACUUCAAGCAAACUAUGAAGGACUUUUACAACUCGCAGACUCCACCAAGAGAAGAACCUGGAUCUACGAGCACAAACACAUUGGAGAUACUGGACACUCAGGCAAUCACUGCCCUGAGAUGCUCGAGGACGUAACUUCUAGAGUAACCCUGUUGUGGAAGUAAUUACUGACCUUCUGCCGAUCAAGAGAGGCGAUCCAGGAUGUCCCGUCAUCCCGAUCUCCAUCGGCAUGGUGGACUUCCCAGAAGCACUCUGCGACUUUGGCUUCAGCGUCAACAUUAUGCCCAGGGUACUCUAUGAAAAAUUCUUUACACAUCCUUUAUUAGAAACAACCAUGUGUUUGCAGCUUGCAGAUCGUACGCUAAGUUUCCCAAAGAGAAUAAUGAAUAUCCUCUGCAUCCAAGAUGGUACCUUGUACGCCCCAGCAGACUUCGCGGUGAUAGAGACUGGUACUGAUGAGAGGGCACCCAUCAUCCUAGGGAGGCCAUUUCUGAACACCUCGGGAGCUGUCAUCUACGCUAGUGCUGCCAAGAUCAGUUUCUACAUCAAGGGGAAGAAGGAGACGUUUUCAUUCAAGAACAAGAUUACACAAAUCUCAGAGCAAUCAAGACAUGAACCAAUGAAGAGGACCAACAGGAGGAACAGAAACAAGUAAAUGUGGACCGAGUCAGCUAAGAUGGUCACUCCAGUUCAAGGAGGUUAAGAUCGUCAACUCAAGUCGCCUUUCUUGAUCAAGAAGGACGACCCUGGUGUUUCAAGCAUCGAGUGCACAAUCAACGAAUAUUCCUUUCAGAAGACACUCUACGACACCGGAUCUGACUUCAACAUAAUGGCCGCAGUCACCUAUCAGCUCCUGUUCGGAACCAUGCCCCUAAAACCGACAUACAUUCAGCUCCAGAUAGCAUAUCAGACAUUCCAAAAGGUUGAAGGUUAUUGACAUGGGAGAAGACGAGUACGAUUCACCCAUCAUCCUUGCGAGACCAUUCCUCAGCACCGUUAAAGCAAUCAUCUACAUUGGAACCGGAGAAGUCCACAUGCAUUUGCCCUCUGAGAAGGUACACCACUAUUCCACUGAUCCUAACUAUAUCAUUGAAGACUCUAAGAAGGUCAGGACAAGAAGAAGACGCCGCAACCGCAACCAGAAGAGGCAAAUCAUCAAGGAUGGAUGGGCAGACUAUGAAGGAGAAGUAGUAAGGUCUGAAGACUUACAGCUUGAACAGAACUGUCCUGAGGAGACCGUAGCACCGAGUCAGGUGUGGAGAGAGAAGAUAGUUAUACAUGAAGAGCAGGCGUCGCCGGAAUCAUAGACUACGCCACUCAACGAAUCCCAGGACAACAGAAAAAACGGAGAGUCUCGUUCGGAGGACUUAAAAACACCGAACGCCUUGCCAAGAGCUUUGUUGUCUUUUUGAGCUCCACAGAAUUCAAGGAUCAAAGAAGACUAGCAGACGGAGGACAUCCUAAUCGCUGUCAGGGUGCUGCCAACAUUCAAAUACACCUCCGCCACCUGCUAGCUACAUCAGAAGGAAUUACGUCAAAACCCAGCUUGGGGGAGGGCAACCCCAUUUACCCAGCUAAGUGCUCUACUCAUGUUUAUACUUUACUCAAAUAAUAAAAAGAUGCAUAAUCAUAAAACCCCAAAUAAAGAUUUUGUGCUUAUAUAUAUAUAUAUAUAUCUUUGCUUAGUUUGCUAAAUAAAUAAAUAAAUAAAGUUUGCUAUGAACCCUCAUGAUAAGCUCUCACAUGGAAAUGAUGAAUAGUUGCUCAGCCACGACUAAUUCUCAAAAUUGAAAUCUCUCUCAAGUUUAGGCAUGACUGUUAUUAAUUAAGAUUUGCUCUAAACCUGAAUUUGUGGGAAGAGUACUUGAUCUAUAGUCUAAGUCGUUAACGGAUAUGAUAUGGGAAGGUUGAGCUGUUGUUUAUCUGUUCCUAGAGAUGCUAGAAUUCUAGAGAAUUUUAUCUUUGAAAAUCUUUAAAAUGUUGCAUGAUGAGUUCCUGUAUGAUGAGAGUUUAAAUUCCUACCACAGCCAUAUAUACAUGCUUGCUCGACUUUGAGCCACACAUUUACUUUUUACUGCUUAUGAGCACUCAGUGUGGUCAAGCUGUGUAGACCCUUAGGAGCUUGUCAUGUGGUUAAAAUCAAGAUUCACUUGCACGUUCACUCAUACAUGCUGCUUCUACUCAGGAAGUACCAUCCACAUAUAUCCAUUUCCAUCUCCAGAACCACCCAAAAAUAUUCUACUCCUAAUCCGAGAGAGAAUAGCCAAAAAUAUUUCUAUUUUUCCCCUGUGAAAUAAAUGCUCAAGUUAUCUUGUUACUACUACUUGCUAUAUUAUCUCAUGAGAUGAGUGCUCUAAAAAAAGAGAGAAAAAAAGUAUACGAGGAAAUAAAAAGGGGCAAGUGCCCGGAACCUCGAAAGAAAAGAAAAAGUGAGACGAGAGGUAAAAAUGGACAAGUGUCCGACAGUAGAAUUAGGGGUACAAGAUACCUACCUGAGAGGAAAGAAAAAAAUAUAGAGCAUCUCAUUCUCCUCAAAAAGUUUCAAAAGAGCAAGAAAGGAAUGUAUCCCCUCAAAAGAGCAUAAGUAGAAUUAGACUUUCACCAUUGUUAUCACCAUCAUCACCAUUAUCACCAUUCAUUCGCCACACAUGCACAUCUUGAUUUGACUUAUUGACUUGUUCUUCUGGAUCCAUGGUUUGACUAUGCAAUAAAUGUCUUGUAAGUAUAUAUACUUUAUCUCCCAUCUAUGAGCUCCAGAUAUCAUAACCUUAUUAGAGUAGGGUGAGAGAGAAGGCAAUGCCACUAUGCCUUAUACCACAAAUACCACAAACUUUGAGAGAAGGUAUACACCAUUACUGCCUUGGUAAGGAUCCAGAAAUACUACAAAAGAGAGACUAGAGAGAGUCAUACAUGGAAUCUCUGAGUUUUAAUUGAAAAUCUGCAAAAACUCCAGAGCUAUAGUUAAUCAAAGAACAAGAGACAUAGCGCUUGAUUAGACCGUUCUAUCUUUUAACUACUCAAGACAGAAGUGACGGUUACAAACCCCAUGGUGAAGUAAGUUUUAAGUCUUAAUAGUUUACUCUAACCCAGAGAUGAUAUCUUGUUUGAAUGCAUGUGUACCUUUAAGGCAUGAAACCACUGCAAAAACUCUUGAGUCCAUCUUUGCUCAGGGACGAGCAAAGGUUAAGCUUGGGGGAGCUUGUUGACGGUCCUUAAUGCUCACAUUUAACCAUCAACUAAUCAUGGAAAAGGAUCCAAAUGCAACCAACACCUAGACUUAGGGUUUUAUCUGACAGAAUUCCACGAGUUUUGGUGUUUGUCUAUUUCUGCAGGGGGUUAUCAGGAAAUACAGAAGAAAGGCCCACACGUCGGGUUUACAUAGAGAUAUUAACAUGCCGCUUAAUUUUCUACCAUCUAGAAGAAUCCAGAAGCCACGGGAACGAACGGGAAGGCGAUCGGGCUCGGAGGCAGGGCGCCCGCCCUACUCUCCUGGGCGCCCGCCCUGCUACAGUGCCCAAUCAGGGUCAACUUCGUGGAUCAUGCUCCACCGACUCUAAGGAUCGAGGAAAAUCACACGAUUAAGGUCGGUUUGAUCGGAUGGUGGAGAAUAACGUGGAAAUUCCUUAGGAGCUACUCUUCCUAGAUUUCUUGGGGGCUACUCUUCUUGGACUAUAUAAGCAGACCCCCACCAGCCCCUGGAGGCAUACCUCUUCUACAGAAUCAAUGUUAGGGUUUCAAUUCUUCAUCCAAGUAGAGAGGAUCCCUCUAGUUCUUCUAGUUCUACAUCUAGUUCAUCUAGAUCUAGUUCUAGUUCAUCUAGUUCUAGUUCUAGUUCCUCUAGUUCUAGUUCUAGUUAGUUCUAGUUGUAAUCUAGAAAAUAGGGAGAGAGAAGAGUAGAGCGGAGGAGGGGCCGGAUCUGUCAGAUCUUCCUCAACAUUGUACUUUUGCAGCAACUGGUUCAUUCUUCAUCGUUCUCCAGGUUCUUCAACUCAUAAUUCCUGAGUUCUUUAAUUACUUUUAUUUACAUUCAAGUUAUUUAUUGGAUUUCCGCUUGCAUCAAGUGCUCUAAUCUUUGAAACAUUAGAGUAGUAAUUAAUAGAUUAGACAUGGUGUUUAGUCUUGCAAUUACCUAGAAUUGCACCCAAUCAUGCGGAUUGUUGCGGUAGCCUUAGGGUAGUGACAGCCCUAACGGUCGACCUAUUCCACCUCGUUCGGAUCGGUGUUUGUAGGACCGUAGUCGGAGCUUCCUAGCCCCCUUCUCAUCUCUUUCUGUGGUUAGUGUUCUGAUGUCCCAAAAUAGAUAAUCUUGAAGUAAUUCUUGAUUCUUAGAUCAACUAGAGAACUCUCAGGAAACUUCCUCUCUUCCCACCAAAAACAAUUAUAUAGUUAUCGUUGGGCGAUCUUGAUUCUUAAUUAGUACACUCACGUUCCCUGUAGAAAAUCGAUACUCUGGAAUACUCCCAGGUGAAGGCUACAUCGGUAUCCGUGCGCUUGCGGAUUUUUCCGUUUGCGUUUAAAAUACCCAACAGGUUUGAGCCGCCAAAAUCAAAGAAUUGAAGGCACAUUUAAUUCAAAUACAGAAGUGCAUCAAAAUGCAAUUGGAUUCAAACUCAGAAGGCCGAGGAGCAUCGUCUGGGCUUUGGGCCUGGGCCAACGGAGCCAGCCAGGGGGCGGGCGCCCCCUAGGGUCGGCCGACCCUGGCCUGGCCCUGCUCCCCACCGCCUUUUGCAGAGGCGGUGCAUGCGAAGCACUAGCGCGGUUCCCGGCUGCAUUUUGCAGUUUACCCCCUCCCAAACCGACCUUCCACACCUAUAUAAGGAGGGGGAGAGGGCCUCUCAUUCAUGAUCAUUCAAUCCAUUCAAGCUUCAAGUCCACAAGAAUAAAGAGAGAUACAAGAGUAGUAGUAGAGAGGCGGAGCUUCCACUCAUAUCCUUAGUCUCUAGUUAGGAAUAGAAUAGGAGAGUGAGUUAGAGUGUAGAGUAAGAGAAGUAGCAAGCACCCGGUCCAUUCCCCUAGUUGCACUGGGCGGAAGGGCCGAAGUGCUGCCCGCUUCCCGAGCUGUCCUCUACAACCUGGAAUACCAUAUUGGGGUAAGAAAAGGUUGUAUUCUUCUUUUGUUCUAAGAAGUUAUUGAGUAAUCGUUAUCGUGUUCUUAUAAUCUUGCGGGUUCGUUGUCUAUCUCUCGGUAGAUACUCUAGUAGAGGGACUCUUGCUGGCUGGCGGGAGGACCUGCGCAACACUAAAGUAGUAGCUAAUAACGUAGACGUGGUGUCUAGGUUAGAGGUUACCCUCGUUUGCCUCGUAUCCCAUGGUUGAGGGGUCGGCAGCAGGUGAUGACAGCCCUGUUUGUCCAUAGUUUCCCCCACGUCUAGAUAUGGCGUAGAGCUACACGCCGGUAUUACCUGGCAGACCAGGUACGCUCCGGUGCCCGAAGUAAGAUUAGAAAAGCACGUUGCCUUGCACAAAACUUCUACCAUUAGGCUGUCUCCAAUAGGAGACCCAAACCCAAAAUGGGUCUCCAACACAAUACCUAUAGCCUCCAACAGAGUACCCAUACAGAAAACCCAUUUUAGGUAUCAGGAGAGGCAUAACCCAAAUUUGGGUAUUCUCUCUCCUCGAGACCCAUUUGCAGAGAGUGUUUUCUUUUAGGUCUCGUUGCUGGAGAAGACUAAAAAUAGGUAUGGAACCUUGUACCUGUAGCGCUACCCAAAGGAUAAAUGAGUCUUUAUUUUGGGUGAUGAUUGUUGGAGAUAGUCUUAGGAGAACCUCACUACCUAAGUCAUCCCUCUCACUUUACUCUAGGGUACACUUAGUUUAUGUCUCAAAACACCUCCGUUCCCUGUGAAAUCUCGAUACCCUGAAUACCACUGGGUGAAGUGCUACAACGGUACUUCCGUGCGCUUACGGAUAAUUGGCUGCAUCACUAAGAAAUACCAACAACUAGUCCCCAAACUCUUAUGCAUUCGCUCCCAGAAAUGAGCGAUGAACUGCGGUCCUCUAUCUGAUAUGAUGGUCUUGGGAAUACCAUGCAGCUUGACAAUCCCGGCUAGAUAUAGAUCAGCGUACUCGGGAGGUCUGUAACGAGUCUUAACAGGAAUGAAAUGAGCCGACUUGGUCAAUCGAUCUAUGAUUACCCAAAUCGAGUCAUUCCCCUUUCGUGUUGUCAGUAAACCUGUGAUAAAGUCCAUACUGACCUCUUCCCAUUUCCACUCUGGAACUGACAACGGUUGCAACAGACCCGCAGGUUUCAUAUGUAUAGCCUUGACUCUGCAACACGUGCCACAACGGGCCACAUGUGCUGCUAUCUCCUUCUUCAUUUUGGUCCACCAAAAGUGAGACCUUAGAUCUUGAUACAUCUUACUCCUGCCAGGAUGAAUAGAAAGCUUGGAAAGAUGUGCUUCAUCCAUGAUGCGAUUCUUCAAUUCUCGAUUCUUCGGAACUACCAGCCGGUGCUGAAACCACAAUCCCCCUUUUUCAUCAACUCGGAACUGAGUCUUUGGGUCGUCUUUGAUCUUUUCUUAGAUGUGGAAAAUACCCUUGUCCGUUUUCUGACCUUCGAUGACUUGACUUUCAAGUGAACAACUGAGCUGUAUGUGACAUAAGACUUCAGGAUGCAUGAGAUUGAAACCAUCUUCAAACAACAGUUGAACCACUUGAUAGUGCGGUUUGUGACUCGAAGCGUCUGCUACCACAUUAGCCUUGCCCGGAUGAUAAUGGACUUCCAGAUCGUAAUCCUUGAUCAGCUCUAACCAUCUUCGUUGCCUCAUAUUCAGCUCGGACUGAGUGAAGAUGUAUUUCAGACAUUUAUUGUCUGUGUAGAUAUGACACUUGUUUCCCAGCAAAUAGUGCCUCCAGAUCUUCAAAGCGUGCAACACUGCUGCUAACUCGAGGUCGUGAGUUGGGUAGUUAACUUCAUGCUUUCUCAACUGUCGUGAAGCAUAAGCUAUAACUCUGCCGUCUUGCAUCAGCACACAUCCUAAACCACUUUUCGAUGCGUCGCAAAACACAUCAAAAGGCUUCUCGAUAUUGGGUUACGCUAAAACGGGAGCGGUGGUUAGCAACAUUCGCAAGGUGCGGAAGGCUAGUUCACACCCUUCUGUCCAGACAAACUUAUGAUCCUUUUGUAGCAAACUGUUCAUUGGCUUAGCAAUCUUGGAAAAGUCGGGUAUGAAACGACGGUAAUACCUGGCUAGGCCAAGAAAGCUUCGAACUUCCGAGAUAGAAGUUGGUGCCUUCCAGUCCAUGACUUCCUAUACCUUUGACGGAUCCACAGCAAUCCCUUCUUCAGACAGAAUAUGCCCUAGGAAAGGAACUUUCUUCAGCCAGAACUCACACUUGCUGAACUUUGCAUACAACUGAUGCUCUCGCAGUCGUGUUAGCACAACUCUUAGAUGCUCGGCGUGAUCUUACUGAUUCUCUGAAUAAACCAAAAUGUCAUCGAUGAACACCACCACAAACUUGUCUAACUCUGGCAUAAAGAUGGAGUUCAUCAGAUACAUAAAGUAUGCAGGAGCAUUUGUCAACCCAAAGGACAUGACAAGAUACUCAUACAACCCAUAUCUGGUGGAAAAAGCAGUCUUCGGGAUAUCUUGCGGGCGAAUCUUUAUUUGGUGAUACCCGGACCUCAAAUCUAUCUUGGAAAACACUUUGGCCUUGGACAACUGAUCAAACAAUAUAUCAAUCCUUGGCAAUGGAUACUUAUUUUUGAUUGUCACCGCAUUGAGUGGACGAUAGUCCACGCACAUACGUAACGAUUGAUCCUUCUUUUUCACAAACAACGCCGGACAACCCCAUUCCGACGAACUUGGCCGGAUAAACCCUUUAUCCAGCAACUCCUUUAGUUGAUUCUUCAAUUCAGCAAGCUCAUUAGGCGGCAUCCUGUACGGCCUCCUAGAUAUCGGUGCGGUACCUGGUAUUAACUCUAUUGCAAACUCUACUUCCCUGUCUGGGGAAGUCCUGGCAAUUCCUCACGGAAAACAUCAGGAAACUCACAGACCACUGGGAUCUAUGGCAGAGGAACCACGUCCGUAGCACAAGAGAUGCUAGCAAAGGCAAAGCGAUGGGGCAGAGGUACUUGAAAAGAUACACUGCCCUGGGGUUCUCUGAGAGAUAACACCCUCUUCCCAGUAUCAAUAACAGCAUCCCACUCUUUCAUCUAGUUCAUGCCCAUGAUAAGAUCCAAAACUAACCCAGGCAUGACUACCAGAUUAACAAGAAACACCCUGUUACUUAUAUCUAGGGUUGCCCCUCGAACCACUCUAUUUGUCAACACAUCUGCCCCUACUGAGCUGAUGCGAUAGCCAUAACCCAGAUCUGUAACUGCUUGGUCAUGCUUUUGUGCAGAUACUUGGCUCAUGAAUGAAUGCGAUGAUCCAGAAUCAAACAAAACAACUGCAAGAUGUUGGUUGACAGAAAACAUACGAGCUGUUACCGGUUCUCCUUCCGAGAUCUCCUCAAUCGAGGUAUGGUGCACUUGAGCUGGGUAGGUCGUCUGCUGCCUCUUGGGGUAGGGACAUUCCUUGGCAAAGUGCCCCAUCUUGUGGCAAUUAUAGCACGGUCCCUUGGUCAUGUUGUUGGUGGCAGGUGCUGCAGCUUGAAUUGCCUUUGGCUUGGCGGGAGCUAUUGCUACUUUGUACGGCUUCUGCUGCGUUGGCUGCCCUGUGUUCCUUCUCUACGGCGGUCGGAACCUAGCACCUGGGGCAGGAGGACUUUACUGCUGUCGCCCUGCCACCGGUGCCCUGGACUAGGACGAUCCAGCUUCAAAAGCCCUCUUGCGAGACUUGGAUGCACUAUAGUUGUUGUUAUUGUUCUCCUGGGUCAAACAGUCACUGAUGUAUGCAUUGAAGGUAGUCUGGGUUCCUGUACCCAUGGUCUUCAGCAUUUUUGGGCUCAAACCUCUCUGGAAAUUAGCGAUCUUCUUGGCCUCUGUGUUCACAUACUCGGGGGCGUAACGAGCAAGAUUGUUAAAAGCGUGUAGAUACUCCUUCACAGACUUUGUUCUCUAGGACAGCCUCAUGAAUUCCCCAACCUUCAUUUCCACCACACCCGGAGGAAUGUAAUUUCCCCGGAAAGAGGUGGUGAAGCGGUUCCAGGUGAUAGGGGUCCCCUCUGGGUAGGUGGUACGGUGAUGGGACCACCAAAUCCUAGCAGGUCCCUGCAAUUGAUGCGCUGCAUAUUCGGCCUUGAGUUCUUCGGUCAUCCUAAGAAGACGGAACUUUUGCUCCAUAGUGUUGAUCCACUCAUCUGCCUCGAGCCGUUCUAAGGCCUCCUAGAAGACUGGUGGUUUGGUAUCCAUGAAGUCCUUGAAAGAGCUGUACUGAUUGGCUUCACGGCCGCCCUGGUUAUCCCCACGGUGGGUAUUGUCAGUGAUAUUGCGCAGGGCUUCUUACAUGUUGUGCUGCAUCUGCUCCAUGUUGCGUUGGCUCCCCAGAAACUACGCGAAAAACAUGUCAACAGUGUACGGAGGUGGUGGUGGUGGUGGCGGUGAUGGUGCUCUUUCCUCAUUCCGUUGAGCCCCACCUCCGAAAGUACCUGCUCCAAGACCGGGGUUGCUGUUACCCUCGCCACAUGUUUGCACCAUCUACAUGCGUCAAUGAUAAGCAGUCGUUAGGAGUUGCCAUCAACGGUAGACAUAUGUAGAAUUAUGUCGUACUGAAUUUACUGAGGAAAAUAAGUUCGCACAAUAAAUAGAGACACAACAAUUCACCACCCACACACAACAUUGUUGGGUAUUCUUAACAUCAUUACCAAAAGUAGACAGUUUUCUAAUUCUAGUAACGGUGCCAAAAAUGCCAAACCUAUCCCUCAUACCACUUAAGCCAAGUUGUCAUCCCCAGCAUGAUAUAAGAGACGCGGUAUUGAAAUAUGCAAUUGCUCUUCUAUAUAAAUAAUGAAUGGGAUCUGCAAGCACACAGAUUAAUACCGAUGUAACAUUUUAACCGGGAAGUAUUCGAGGUAUCGUUAUUUAUAUUUUUACCACUGGAAAGGGAUUAGCAAUCAUCAAUAUUGAUUACAGAAUAGAAUAUGAUAUUGAGUAUCUAUCAUUGCAUGUAUAAUUGAGAACAUUUAUCUAUCUUUUUCAUAUAGGGGUAAGUGUCACAUAAAAGAUAUAUGAAGUAAUGAAUAGUGACAAAGAUAAUUAAUCUGAUCAGCAUAACUUAGCCACAUAAUAAAUAUGAUAAGCACCUCAAUUAGAUACUCUAGAAAGUCAUUAGCAUGGAAUUAGAACGAACUACAAGAAUAUUUCCUAAGUUAUUCUCAACUAUAUAGUCUAGCAUUAUCAUAGUUAGUGCAAGCAUACUUAGCAAUCAUUGCGAGACAAGACUACGCCCAUGCAUAGUGAUAUUAGCAAGGUAAAUGAGAAACAUAGCAAUCGCUCCCCUGUAAUAAUGUUGCUCUGCCAGCCCAAUACACGAGAGGGGGACUAUAUAAGAAUCAAUGAAGCUGUCACUAUCACAAACUACCCCACGAUCUGGCAUAUUGGGUAGAAUUGUAGAUAAAUACGGUAUAAGCACCACGCCUACACAAUAUCAAUCAUUUACCCAUGGAUCCGAUGGAUAAACGCUAUACGAUCCUAAAUAUGUAUAUAAAUCCAAUCUAACUAAGCCAAGUAUAUAACUAUGAUAAACUCAGAACAAUAUAAUCUUGAAUAUAAACAAGUAGAGCAAAGUCAUAAGCAAUAUAUUGAAGUAGAACUAAGUCAUAUUCAUAAUAUUGAAGAACAAAGAUAAUUAGAAUAACAAUUAGAAGCACAAUUAGAGAAUUACCAAGAAUCCUCUUGACAGAUCCGGAAACCAAUCGAAGAUUGACUCCUUCUAGUUCUAAUCCUAUGUAGCUAUGCUAAUCUAGAUGUCUAAUUGAUGUGGUGGCUCUAAUUUUGAUCAGAGGCUUCUUCUUCUCCCUUGAGGAAUAAUGAAUUAGGGUUGAGAGGAUCCCUCCUCCAGGGGCCAGGGGGUCUGGUUUUAUAGUCCCUUCAAGUGAAUAUGGGUCGUUGGAUCAAACCGACAUUGAUUGAACGAUUAUCCUUGAUCCUUUAGGUCGGUGGAGAUCUUUCCCGAAAGAGUGUCCUGAUUGGAGUCCAACAGGGGGCGGGCGCCCAGGUCAAUUGGGCGGGCGCCUAGUGCCUGGCCCCGUUCAGCCUCUGCUUCCUUCCCGUGGCUUCUGGAGUCUUCUAGAUGUAAGAUAAUUGCACUGCACGUUGAUAUCUCUAUGUAAUCCCAACAUGUGGGCCUUUCUUCCAUAUUCCCUGAUAACCCACUGCAGAAAUAGACAAACACCAAAACUCGUGGAAUUCUGUCAGAUAAAACCCUAAGUCUAGAUGUUGGUUUCAUUUGGAUCCUUUUCUUUGUUUAUUUGAUAAUUAAAUUUGAUACUUAAGGACCGAAAACAAACUCCCCCAAGCUUACCUCUUGCUCGUCCCUGAGCAAGGAUAGACUCAGCGAUGGAUCAGAAGUUGUUGCAAUAUCUUUAAAAAUUGACGGUACACAUGCUUUCAAAUGAGUUCUCAUCUCUGAGUUAGAGUAAACUAUCAAGACUUAAAACUUACUUAUUUUACCUUUCACCAUGGGACUUGUAACUGUCACCUCUGUCUUGAGUGGUUAAAAGAUAGAAUAGUCUAGUCAAGUGCCAUGUCUCUUAUUCUUGAUCAGCUAUAGCUCUCGAGUUUUUGCAGAUUUUCAAAUAAAACUCAGAGAUUCCUUGUAUGACUCUCUCAGAUCACUCUUUUGUGGUAUUUCUGGAUCCUUACCAAGGUAGUGAUGGUAUAUGCCUUCUCUCAAAAUAUGUGGUAUUUAUGGUUUAAGGCAUAGUGACAUUGCCCUCUCUCUCACCCUACUCUAAUAAGGCUUUUAAUAUCUGGAGCUCACAGGUGGGAGAUAAAAUAUACAUACUCAUAAGACAUGUAUUAUAUAGUCAAACCAUAGAUCCAAAGAAACAAAUCAAUAAGUCAAAUCAAGAUGUGCAUGUGUGGCGAAUGAAUGGUGUAUGGUGAUAAUGGUGAUAACAAUGGUGAAAGUCUAAUUCUACUUUUGCUCUUUUGAGGAGAUACAUACCUUCCUUGCUUUCUUGAAACUUUUUGAGGAGAAUGAGAUGCUCUUCUUUUUCUUUUCUCUCAGGUGGGUAUCUUGUACCCCUAAUUUGUAACACCCUAGGUGUUAAGCAUGCACUUAGUCUUCUCAAAACAUUCAUAAACAUUCUCAUCAAGCAUAGCAUCACAUGAGCAUGUCAUCCAUCCAAAGUGUGAUUUUAUGUGCUUUAUUCUAUGUGAUUUAAAUGUGUUAAAAAUAUGAUGCUUGCUACUAAAAUUGUGAAAUAUUCAAAUUAGGUUGAAUUGUGUGUAAAAAGAUUUAAGAGUAUUUUUGUGCAAUUUUUGGAGCCAUAGAAUUUGAGAAGUGGAAUUUAUACAAAAAUCCCCAAAAUGAAUUUAUUUGAAAACCUAGAACUAGUUUUAAUCUGUAAUUCAAAUUCCAUUUGGAAUUUGGUCUUGCUUAUUAAAACAAAGUUGUAGGGUUUUUGUUUUGGAACAACUUUGAUUUUGGGAGAAAAGGGUGAAAGUGAUUUUUAAAUGGUCCAAAUGAAUUUAGAAAGAAUUUGAGAAAAGAAUUUCAAAAAAAAGAAAAGGGGACAGGCGCUGCUGGGCCGACCCGCCUCCCUUUCGGCCCAGCCAGCAGCCCGGCCUGCCUCCCCCUCCCCUCUCUCUCCCGCGCGCGGCGCCCGCCUUGCCCCAUCCCGCGGCGGCCACGUGGCGGCCGUACGCCGGCGUUGGGCGCGCCGCGGCCGACCACCCCCUCCCCCUGGUCGAGACGCCGCCCCGCGCCCCCAGACCGCUCCCUCCAUUCUGUCGCCCGCGCCUUCUCCCUCCUUCCUCCGUGCGCGUGCGCAGCCGCAGCAGCAGCAGCUCCGCCCGCGCCAUUUCCGGAGAAAGCCCCGCCGCUCGCCGCCGGUCGCACCAGAGCUCCACCUCGACGUCAAGGACACCAGCGCACUCGCCGUCGCCGCGGUAAGCCCCUGCGUACGCUCUACCGAGGGGAGAAGCAGUCGUGCGCCGUGAAUCGCUCGUCGGAGUUGCUCCGACCUCGCCGUAGAGCUCCGCCGCGACGGAUCUUGCUGUAUCCUGCCUCUUUUCGCUCGUUCUUUGGUGCGCUAGGUCGGUAGUGAGGUGAGGAAGCUCGGAGGGUUGUUUGCGCGCGCUCUACCGCACCAGAGCGGCCUAGCCACGGCGAGCAGCGCCACCGUGCCGCCAUGCACGCUCGUCGGAGGUGUUCCGGUCAUCCUCCGGCCGAUCCAAGGGCACCGCUGGGUGCGCCUCGCUGCGGGGAGCACGCUGGUGCUCACCCCGUGGCCGGAGACCUCGCAGUCGGCGAGAGCCGGCCGGCCGAAGAUCGGCCGGUGUGUUGCGUGGCUGACCCGUGGGGUCACGGCCCUGGAUCCCACCUGUCAGUGCCUCUGCGGGUGUGGAUCUGGGUGAGUUUAGUGUUUUUCAGCGGUUUUCUUAAAUAAAUAUUUUCUAGAAAUCGGUUUAAAUCUUGUAAAAUCUAUAUCUUGAGUUGUAUGGUUCCAAAAUUGGUGAAACAAAUUUUGGUUUGCUCUCUGUUCUCAGAUCUACAGUUUGAUGUAAUUGCAUGUCAUGUUUGAACACUUUUUCUGGACAAAAAUAAUUAAUCUAUGUUCUUGCUGAAAUUGGAAAAUGCAUAGUAAUUAAAAUAUGACUCAGAAAAAUAUGAAAUUUGUUUUGCUGUCUCUGCAUGUAUGUUUAGUCACUGGGAAAAUAUUGCUACACAUUAUUUGGUGUAUGAAUGAAUUUUUUGUGAUUUAAAUGCUUGCAUGGCAGUGGUUUAUGAUUUUUAAUAAAUAAUUGGAUCAUGCAAUUAAUCUGUAAAUUUUUGUAGAUGUUUCUCAUGAUACUAAGGGUGUGUUUGGUUGGGCUGUGACUUUUAGAAAAGCUACUGUGAGCUUUGAGCUUUUGAAAAGCUGCUGUGGGAUGUGGGCUUUGAGAAACCCAAAAGUCAUUUGGUUGGUCACUCAUGGCUUUUGGAAAAAAACUGAACGAAUCCCAAAAGUCAGUGAAAGCAGGGGGUGAGGUGCUUUUGGAUUUGUACUACGAGAAAAGCUGCUUUUGGGCAAAAGCACUUGUGGCUUUUGGGCCCUUUGGUUGGCUUUUGGCUUUUACAAAAGCAAAAGCAGGUUCAAAAGCCCAACCAAAGGGACCCUAAGCAAAUUAUAAAAAUAUGAAAUCUGGUGUUUGAAACUUAUACCACAGUAGAGUAUUUUUAUUUGCCCUUAGGAAUUAAUCUUGUGAUUUUUGUAGCUCAAAAUAAGUAUCCAAAAAUUAUGGAAAAUUUAUUGUGGACUUUAUGUUUGACUGGUAGUCUCCUGUAAUUUUUGUGGAAUUUAUUGAUAAACAGAAAUGCAUGCUAUUUUGAUGGGUCUAAAAAUGAAUAAAGAGAAUAUGAAUUGUUAUAUAUGGUUUAAAUAGAAUAAAAGGGGUUUGGUGUAUCUUUGAAGCAUCUUGUGAGUUUGCUGGUUACACUUGAGGAUAAUUUGUAGAAAAGAAGGAAUUAGAUGUUUACAUGCUCUUGUAUGACGUUGACUACCGUGUAGAUGACCAUCUAAACCAUCUAUGCAUCAUGUCAUAGUCAUGUGGUUUUCUCUCACAUGAGCAUUGCACCCCGGGCAUCUCGCACUCCACUCAUGAGCACACAUGCAUCAUACAGGCUCGCAGGAGAACGAGGUGGGACCCGAGGAGCAGGAAGAAGCACAGGAGUAGGAACAUCUGGGAGUGUCGGAACCCGGAGAGGAGCAACAGGAGUGCCCGGAUCAUAAGCUGAGCACGUUCGAGAAAGGCAAGCCCCGGAGCAUUCUAAGCCUCCAUAUUCUCGCUAACUUAAAUAAUACAUUAUGCUCGUUCUACUAUGUUGCAUUUAAGUGGUAGGAAUCGCUUGACACCAUUAGUGCAUAUGCACUCCUUGCUAUCACUACUCAUUGAUCUACCUUGUCCUAUGUAGAUAGGCACGGAGUCUAUGCUUAGCCUGCUUAGUACGGUAGAAGUCGGGUGAUUUCCUGUCACCUGCGAGAUAUAGGUGGAUACCUACUUGAUUAAGCAGUGAUUGUUUUGGUAGAGAAUAACCAAGUGUGGAAUGGAAUUGGAGACCGGGCAGGGUCUUAUGGUGGGUUGACUAUAGUGCCCCUGCCUGUGUCGAUUAAGGACCGAUCGUUGACGGCCCUCUUGUCAUGUUGAACGCAUGCCCCACACUUAGCUGGAAGGAUAAGUCGUUCCGACCGCGAAGCCUGAUCACUAUCCGGGCCGGGAAUUGGCCCAAUGUACGCGCUGUAUUGGUGAUGGUUGAGGAGAACGACGAGGGCGCGGCGCGCAACCUUGGUAUACCUUGGAUACCUCGGUCGCCGGAACAGUCCUCGGGUACGGGCGGUGCCUGUCGAACCCGCGAAUUGGUCCUGGAUAGUGCAACACGGUGAUCUGUAGCUCACUUGAUCAGUGAGUGUGGUUUGUGUGGGGAAUAACUCGCCAGCUGGUUAGAAAUCGAUUUGAAUCGCCAUCGCUCCUGGAUAGUGAGCACUUGACAUGAGCCCUGUCCUUGUAGUAAGGACUAUGGAACACUUGGGUUAUAUGACAAAUAAUUGCAUGGAUGCUAUGAUGAGGCACAAUCAUAUUAUUAUAUUUGUUUGUCUUAGUGCAGGUGCAAACCUAGAUAAUAGGUAAUGAUACUUUCAACUUGAGCUCGUGCUUUUAUGCAAAAGGUCGUCGGCUACCCCCACUAUAUAGCCUUCAUGAUUUUUGAAGAGUCUUUAUUUUUGAGUUUAUGACGAGUAAGUUUAGUUGAGUACAUUCUCGUACUCAGGGUUCUAUUCCCAUGUUGUUUUGGAGAUGGUCAAAUAUACUAUGGUUAUCGCAUCCUCUGCCUGUACCCUGCUAUGGGUGAUGACUAGACCAAGGGCGAUGGUCAUUCCAUCUUCUCUUUUGCUUUUGUGGGAAUGACCAAAACUAUGGCACUGUAUCAAACUAAGUGUGUGUGUUAUUUUCAACUAUGAAGCUUCCGCUACUUGUGAACUUGGUUUGUAAUAACUUUAAGCACUCCGAUGUUUUUGAUGGAUAUUUUCGAACUGGAUGUAACUGUGGAUGGUGACCGCUGAACUUAUUACGAUCUUGGCUGUGUGUACGAUAUGUGGUUUGAAAUCCUUCGAGAUUUCACGGAAUACUGGGAUUAUAUGGGCUUAAGCUGGAUGGUUUGACUAUGCAAAUGGACGCUAUUAGGCUUAAUCUCUUAUAAUUUGGGCGGUUCUGUUACAUAAUUCUACUGUCGGACACUUGUCCAUUUUUACCUCUCGUCUCACUUUUUCUUUUCUUUCAAGGUUCCAGGCACAUGCCCCUUUUUAUUUCCUCGUAUCUUUUUUUUCUUUUUUUUAUUAGAGCACUCAUCUCUUGAGAUAAUAUCGCAAGUGGUAGUAACAAGAUAACUUGAGCAUUUAUUUCAUAGGGAAAAACAGAAAUAUUUUUUGGCUAUUCUCUCCCGGAUUAGGAGUAGAAUAUUUUUGGGUGGUUCUGGAGAUGGAAAUGGAUGGAUAUAUGUGGAUGGUACUUCUAGAGUAGAAGUAGCAUGUGUGAGUGAACGUGCAAGUGAAAUUUGAUUUAACCACAUAACAAGCUCCUAAGGGUCUACACAGCUUGACCACACUCAAUGCUCAUAAGCAGUAAAUAGUAAAUGUGUGGCUCAAAGUCUAACAAGCUUGUAUAUAUGGCUAUGGUAGGAAUUUGUUGACACCGUUUUUGGACACGUACCUAGGUUUGGUAGAGUGUAGAUCAGCAAGAUAGGGCAACAGUAACUGGUCUAUGUUGGGUAUUCUUAACACCACUACCAAAAGUAGACUUAGUUUUCUAAUUCUGAUAACGGUGCCAAAAUUGCCAAACCUAUCCCUCACACCACUUAAGCCAAGUUGUCAUCCCCAGCAUGACAUGAGAGACGCGGUAUUGAAAUAUGCAAUUGCUCUUCUAAAUAAAUAAUGAAUGGGAUCUGCAAGCGCACAGAUUAAUACCGAUGUAGCAUUUUAACCGGGAAGUAUUCCAGGUAUCGUUAUUUAUAUUUUUACCACUGGGAAGGGAUUAGCAAUCAUCAAUAUUGAUUACAGAAUAAAAUAUGAGAUUGAGUAUCUAUCAUGGCAUGUAUAAUUGAGAACAUUGUAUCUAAUUCUUUCAUACAGGGAUAAGUGUCACAUAAAGUAUAUAUAAAGUAAUGAAUAGUGACAAAGAUAAUUAAUCUGAUCAUAAUUAGCCACAUAAUAAAUAUGAUAAGCACCUCAAUUAGAUACUCUAGAAAGUCAUUAGCAUGUAUUAGAACGAACUACAAGAAUAUUUCCUAAGUUAUUCUCAACUAUAUAGUCUAGCAUUAUCAUAAUUAGUGCAAGCAUACUUAGCAAUCAUUGCGAGACAAGACUACGCCCAUGCAUAGUGAUAUUAGCAAGGUAAAUGAGAAACAUAACAAUCACUCCCCUGUAAUAAUAUUGCUCUGCCAGCCCAAUACACAAGAGGGGGACUAUAUAAGAAUCAAUGAAGCUGUCACUAUCACGAACUACCCCACGAUCUGGCAUAUUGGGUACAAUCGCAGAUAAAUACGGUAUAAGCACCACGCCUACACAAUAUCUAUCAUUUACCCAUGGAUCCGAUGGAUAAACGCUAUACGAUCCUAAGCAUGUAUAUAGAUCCAAUCUAACUAAGCCAAGUACAUAACUAUGAUAAACUAAGAACAAUAUAAUCUUGAAUAUAAACAAGUAGAGCAAAGUCAUAAGCAAUAUAUUGAAGUAGAACAAAGUCAUAUUCAUAAUAUUGAAGAACAAAGAUGAUUAGAAAGCAAUUAGAAGCACAAUUAGAGAAUUACCAAGAAUCCUCUUGACAGAUCCGGAAACCAAUCGAAGAUUGACUCCUAGUUCUAAUCCUAUGUAGCUAUGCUAAUCUAGAUGUCUAAUUGAUGUGGUGGCUCUAAUCUUGAUCACAAGCUUCUUCUCCCUUGAGGAACAAUGAAUUAGGGUUGAGAGGCUCUCUCCUCCACGGGCCAGGGGGUCUGGUUUUAUAGUCCCUUCAAGUGAAUAUGGGUCGUUGGAUCAAACCGACAUUGAUUGAACGGUUAUCCUUGAUCCUUUAGGUCGGUGGAGCGUCGUGUGCGAAAAGAGUCCCGAUUGGGCUCGGUAGGAGGGCGGGUGCCUAGGGCAACUAGGCGGGCGCCCAGUCCCUUGCCUCGUUCGGCCUCCGCUUCCUUCCCGUGGCUUCUGGAGUCUUCUAGAUGUAAGAUAAUUGCACGACACGUUAAUAUCUCUAUGUAAUCCUGACGUGUGGGCCUUUCUUCCAUAUUUCCUGAUAACCCCCUGCAGAAAUAGACAAACACCAAAACUCGUGGAAUUCUGUCACAUAAAACCCUAAGUCUAUAUGUUGAUUUCAUUUGGAUCCUUUUCUUUGUUUAUUUGAUAAUUAAAUUUGAUACUUAAGGACCGUCAACAAACUCCCCCAAGCUUACCUCUCGCUCGUCCCUGAGCAAAGAUAGAUUAGAAGUUGCUGCAAUACUUUAAAAAUUGACGGUACACAAGCUUUUAAAUAAAGAUCUCAUCUCUGAGUUAGAGUAAACUGUCAAGACUCAAAACUUACUUACUUUACCUUUCACCAUGGGACUUGUAACCGUCACUUCUUUCUUGAGUGGUUAAAAGAUAGAACAGUCUAGUUAAGUGCCAUGUCUCUUAUUCUUGAUCAGCUAUAGCUCUGGAGUUUUUGCAGAUUUUCAAAUAAAACUUAGAGAUUCCUUUUAUGAUUCUCUCAUAUCUCUCUUUUGUGGUAUUUCUGGAUCCUUACCAAGGCAGUGAUGGUAUAUGCCUUCUCUUAAUAUAUGUGGUAUUUGUGGUAUGAAGCAUAAUGACAUUGCUUUCUCUCUCACCCUACUCUAAUAAGGCUUUAAUAUCUGGAGCUCAUAGGUGGGAGAUAAAGUAUACAUACUUACAAGACAUUUAUUGUAUAGUCAAACCAUGGAUCCAAAGAAACAAAUCAAUAAGUCAAAUCAAGAUGUGCAUGUGUGGCGAAUGAAUGGUGUAUGGUGAUGAUGGUGGUAACAAUGGUGAAAGUCUAAUUCUACUUUUGCUCUUUUGAGAGGAUACAUACCUUUCUUGCUUUUUGAAACUUUAUGAGGAGAAUGAGAUGCUCUAUCUUUUUCUUUUCUCUCAGGUGGAUAUCUUGUACCCCUAAUUCUACCAUCGGACACAUGUCCAUUUUUACCUCUCAUCUCACUUUUUCUUUUCUUUCGAGGUUCCGGGCACUUGCCCCUUCAUAUUUCCUCGUAUCUCUUUUUUUUCUUUUUUUUCUAGGCACUCAUCUCUUGAGAUAAUAUAGCAAGUGGUAGUAACAAGAUAACUUGAGCAUUUAUUUCACAGGGAAAAAUCAGAAAUAUUUUUGGCUAUUCUCUCCCGGAUUAGGAGUAGAAUAUUUUUAGGUGAUUCUGGAGAUGGAAAUGAGUGGAUAUAUGUGGAUGGUACUUCCAGAGUAGAAGUAGCAUGUGUGGGUGAACGUGCAAGUGAAUCUUGAUUUAACCACAUGACAAGCUCCUAAGGGUCUACACAGCUUGACCACACUCAAUGCUCAUAAGCAGUAUAUAGUAAAUGUGUGGCUCAAAGUCUAGCAAGCAUGUAUAUAUGGCUGUGGUAGGAAUUUAAAACUUUCAUCAUACAGGAACUCAUCAUGCAAUAUUUUAAAGAUUUUCAAAGAUAAAAUUCUCCAGAAUUCUAGCAUCUCUAGGAACAGAUAAAUAGCAGCUCUACCUUCCCGUAUCGUAUCCGUUAACAACUUAGACUUUAGAUCAAGUUUUCAUCCCACAAGUUUAGGUCUAGAGCAAGAUUUAAAUUAUAACAGUUAUAUCUAAAUGUGAGAGAGAACUUAAAAUGUGCAAAUUAGGAAGAGCAACUGUUGACACUUGCUAACACCACUUGAAUACUAGGUUGUCAUCCCCAGCAUGGCACUAGAGUGUACUAUGGUAUUUAUCGGCACACAGAUAAUCCGCAAGCGCACGGAUACCGUUGAAGCUUUUACCCGGUUAAAGGUUUUAUCGUAUCCACAGGGAAACAGGAGAACUGAUCUAUGCUCUAACUUAACCAAGAUAAGUAAAUAAGUGUAAAUAGGAAAGAUGGUAGAAUCGAAUAAGAACAAUAUUAAAGGUAAGAUAACAGUGAGUGAUAAUAUGGGAAUAGAGAAUAGAGCAAUUAUAGUAUAUGGGCGAUGGUAGCAGAAUAGAGAGGAUAACUAUGGUUUCUCUACUUCAAAGGGGUAUGUCUAUGUCUGGGACGAACCACGUGAUAAGAAGUACACCACAAAGGAUGCUUAUCCUUAGGCCGAUAAACCAUACCCGUCCUGCUAACGAGAGGUGGACUACAGAGGACCAACGUAACUGUCACCUACGCGGCCUACCACACGAUCCAGCUAGACAGGGGAUAUCCACAAGUAAUCUAGAUCUAAGCACCUCGCUUACACCUAUACUACAACUCUCACCUAUAGCGUCCUAUAGAUUAAAGUACUCAAAAGAGUUGUGAACCAGAAUAUACAUAAUUAGAAAUUGCAUAAUGAAUUAGAAGUAGAUUACCAGAGUCAUCCCAUGAGCAAGCUUGAUUAGAGCUUGAUCAUGACGAAGUACAACCGGAGGAAGAACUGACAGGCCGGCCUCUCCUCUAAUCCUCCUUCGCUCUCCAUCUUGCUACUAUCUAGAUCUACUCUAGUUUAGAGAAGAGAGGAGAGCUCUCAUCUCUAAACCCUAGCUUUUGCUCUGUCUAUGAAUAAUGAAUAAUGAUCAAGGGGUGCCUCCUCCAGGGGCUAGGGGGUCUAGUUUUAUAGUCCCUUCAAGUGAACCUGGGCCGUCAGAUCAAACCGACAUAGAUUGAACGGUUAUCCUUGAUCCUUUAGGUCGGUGGAGAUCUCCCGAGAAACAGAGUCCUAAUUGGCCUCCAGAGGUGGGCGGGCGCCCUGCCUCUAGCCCUGUUCGGCCUCCGCUUCCUUCCCGUGGCUUCUGGAGUCUUCUAGAUGUAAGAUAAUUGCGCGACACCUUAAUAUCUCUAUGUAAUCCUGACGUGUAGGCCUUUCUUCCAUAUUUCCUGAUAACCCCUUGCAGAAAUAGACAAACACCAAAACUCGUGGAAUUCUGUCACAUAAAACCCUAAGUCUAGAUGUUGAUUUCAUUUGGAUCCUUUUAUUUGUUUAUUUGAUAAUUAAAUUUGAUACUUAAGGACCGUCAACAAACUCCCCCAAGCUUACCUCUUGCUCGUCCCUGAGCAAGGAUAGACUCAGCAAUGGAUCAGAAGUUGUUGCAAUAUCUUAAAAAUUUGUCGGUACACAUGCUUUUAAAAAAGAUCUCAUCUCUGAGUUAGAGUAAACUGUCAAGAACUAAAACUUACUUACUUUACCUUUCACCAUGGGACUUGUAACCGUCACUUCUGUCUUGAGUAGUUAAAAGAUAGAACAGUCUAGCCAAGUGCCAUGUCUCUUAUUCUUGAUCAGCUAUAGCUCUGAAGUUUUUGCAGAUUUUCAAAUAAAACUCAGAGAUUCCUUGUAUGACUCUCUAAAUCUCUCUUUUGUGGUAUUUCUGGAUCCUUACCAAGGCAGUGAUGGUAUAUGCCUUCUCUCAAGAUAUGUGGUAUUUGUGGUAUAAGACAUAGUGACAUUGCCUUCUCUCUCACCCUACUCUAAUAAGGCUUUAAUAUCUGGAGCUCAUAGGUGGGAGACAGCUAAUACAUACUUACAAGAUAUUUAUUGCAUAGUCAAACCAUGGAUCCAGAGAAACAAGUCAAUAAGUCAAAUCAAGAUGUGCAUGUGUGGUGAAUGAAUGGUGUAUGGUGAUGAUGGUGAUAACAAUGGUGAAAGUCUAAUUCUACUUUUGCUCUUUUGAGGGGUUACAUACCUUCCUUGCUUUUUGAAACUUUAUGAGGAUAAUGAGAUGCUCUAUCUUUCAUUUUUUUCUUUCCUCUCAGGUGGGUAUCCUGUACCCCUAAUUCUACUGUCGGACACUUGUCCAUUUUUACCUCUCGUCUCACUCUUUUUCUUUUCUUUCGAGGUUCCGGGCACUUGCCCCUUUUUAUUUCCUUGUAUAUAUUUUUUUCUCCUCUUUUUUUUUAGAGCACUCAUCUCAUGAGAUAAUAUAGCAAGUGGUAGUAACAAGAUAACUCGAGCAUUUAUUUCACACGAAAAAACAGGAAUGGGAUAAUGUUUUUGGCUAUUCUCUCCCGGAUAGGAGUAGAAUAAUUUUAGGUGAAUCUGGAGAUGGAAAUGGGUGGAUAUAUGUGGAUGGUACUUCCGAAGUAGAAGUAGCAUAUAUGAGUGAAUGUGCAAGUGAAAUCUUGAUUUAACCACAUGACAAGCUCCUAAGGGUCUACACAGCUUGACCACACUCAAUGCUCAUAAGCAGUAAAUAAUAAAUGUGUGGCUCAAAGUCUAGCAAGCAUGUAUACAUGGCUGUGGUAGGAAUUUAAACUUUCAUCAUACAGGAACUCAUCAUGCAAUAUUUUAAAGAUUUUUCAAAGAUAAAAUUCUCCAGAAUUCUAGCAUCUCUAGGAACAGAUAACCAGCAGCUCAACCUUCCCAUAUCAUAUCCGUUAACAACUUAGAUUUCAGAUCAAGUUUUUAUCCCACAAGUUUAGAUCUAGAGCAAGCUUUAAAUUAUAACAGUUAUGUCUAAACUUGAGAGAGAACUUCAAAUUUGCAAAUUAGGCAGAGCAACUAUUCAUCAUAUCCAUGCUAGAGUUUUAUUAUUAAGAUUCAGAUUAGCAUAGCCACUUUAUUUAUUUAUUAAACACACUAAGCAAAAGAUAUAUAUAUAAGCACAAAAUCUUUAUUUGGUUUUUCAUAGUUUAUGUAUUUUAAUAUUCUAAUAUAAUAUAAGUAUAAAGAUAGGUAGAAAUACUUAGCGAGAUAAAUGGGGGUGCUCUCCCCCAAGCUGAAUUUUGACGUAAUUUCUCUUGAUGUAGCUAGCAGGUGGCAGAGGUGUAUUUGAAAGUCAACAGCAUUCUGACAGCGAUUAGAAUGUCCUCCGUCUGCUAGUCAUCUUGAUUCUUAAAUUCUGUGGAGCUCAAAUAGACAACAAAGCUUGUGGAACUAAUUAAGUGUUAGCAUAAAUAUCUAGCCUUCAUCAUGUUGAGCUUCCUCAAUAAAUAUUACUCCCUGUUUUUAUAUUUUUAUUUUAUAAAGCAGAAAAGAAAUAUUUAUUUUAUUUUUAUGCCACCACAGUGAAGGUACUUAUGGGUUUUAUGCCACUCGUAUACAUGGGGCUUAGUAUUUUUUAACAUUUUUAUUUUCUUUUCAAGAUAGCAUGAUUAACUAAUAAUCUAUUUAAGGAAAGUAAAUAAUUAAAGGGAAAAAGCAAUGCAGAAAGGAUAAAUAUGGAUAACUACUGAUCUUACCUUUCGGCGAGGGUUCAAUGUUUUAAGUCUUCUUAACAAGACUUCUCACCGUGUUCAUUCUUCAGGUGCGUCAUUUGAUUCAGGUGCGGACCUUGACGUCUGCACCUCUUGAUACGGUGUCACCCAUGUUCUUCGUUUGGCCAGCAGUUCGAAGUGCGGUGUUGGUAGUAACCUGCUCAGUGUGUUUGUGCUCGUAGAUCCAGGUCCUUCACUUGGUAGAGUCUGAGAGUUAUAAAACUCCUCCGUAUUUUGCUCAAAGUGUACCUGCUCAUAGAGACAAGGCAGAGAUCAAGUGCAUCGGUCCUGUUGGUGGAAAACACCAACAGAACCUAAAGUGUAUUUGUUCUUCUCUAACCCUAAGCAUAGUGAGCAAAACAAAGUUGAUGGAUGAAAAGUUCAUGAGUGUAGCACUUAUAACAUUUGUCAGAUCAGAUCGCUCAACCUUAUGGAAAGAUAAUCUAUCUAUGUAUAUGUCUUUUUCUUUAUAUCUCUCAAUGACUGAAUGUGUUACAUUUUAGCUCAUGUGGGAUCAUGUAGGUAGUACUAAGAACAAGGAUUAAAGGACUAAACAUGUUGAAUCAGUUGGGUUGGUUAAUCUAGAGUUGUAAAUCAUACAUGUUUGUCUCUUUUAUUUAUAUGAACGCUAGAACCAAGGAGAAGCUUAUAAAAGGGAUAGUCAAGUACCUUAAGAUGUUACCUUGCUUGAAGAGUGAUGGUACAGUAUCACCUUGUGGAAGCUUUCCUUUCUUAGCGGUUGUGCAUCGUGUUUGUGGCACCCUCCAUGGAUCAUCUCUCCAUGAUGAAUGAGCUAUGUCCUUCUUGUGCAAAUUGUUAAACUUCAUGUGUCACUCUCUUCGUCUCUGAUGUGAGUUUAUCUCAGGACUUCCCAAAUCGAUAGUGAAAUUUUUUUCUGCAGGGGUUAGUCUGACAAAAAUAUACCAAUGUCUACAAAAGCAGUUUUUAGUUCAAUAACCAAACUACACUCCAUGUCUAAUCAGAUUAAGGAAGGCUGUUUAACCUAAGCACCAUGCUUAAUUUAAAAGCCAAUAGAAGUAUGUGCAGUACUUCCAAACUAACACUUACUAGUAAAUAGACAAAGGUGACAUGACAGCAUUUAUAGAGAUCUACUCAAGUAGAGAUGAAGUAGUGUGAUUAGUACUUAACAAAUUGAGCAUGUCUCAAAGGUAGGGACAACCAACAUAGUAACAUGGCAAAGGAUGGUUUUAUGUAAAGUACUCCCCCAAGCUUGAAUUUUGCAAAAUUCAAGUUUGGAUUUAAUUCAAUGUUGUAUGAUGAUUGGUUGGACAUACCAUGUGCUUGUUAUUCAUCCGAUCUUCUUGCUCCAAUCCUGAAAAAGGUUAGUGACAAGAAUACCCGAAGGAAUAUUUUUACAAUUAUCCUUAUAUGCUCAAUACACAAGGUAAUGUUAAAAGCUCAUGUUACAAUUUGAUCAGUGCUUAUUUUAGGACACUAAGCUUGUCCUUGGGAAACCAUCAAUUUAUGUCGGUGAAGUGGUUUCCCUUCCAACGCUGACCUAUAUCAAGAUCAACUCAACGAGAUCUGCAAUAUUUAUUAUAGACAUAUGCAUCGACAACUGCCCUUUUAAAGUUUUUAUAAAUAGAAAGGAAGAGGGGGUUGGAUAUCUCAAGUGUGGUGAUGUCGGAGAGACCAAUAGAUUGGGAAGAUGUUGCAUAUGAGCAUGGAGUAAACGAAGUGGCUAUGAAAUAAAUUCCAUGCUCAUUAAUGUUAUCUUCGUCUCCAAUCUGAAUGUUCGGAGUUUCUCUUGGAUUGGUCUCACUUAUGUCCUCUUCUAUAGUUGGAUGAAUCCCAUCUUCAAAGGGAGUCAAGAACUCACCAUUUGAAAUUGAACCAAAGUCAGAAUUCAUUAAGGCUUCUUCCUUAUCUAUCCAUUCUACACAUUCUAUCCAUUUAGAACUUGUGAUCGGGAAAGGGGAGGUGUUAGAAUUUUCAAUAUGGCUUAGCUCUCCUUCACUUGAUAUGUCAUCCUCGACUUCUUCAUAACAGGAACCAGGACAUUCUCUAAGAGAACCAUUAUUGCGAGGAUUUGAAUUAUCCCUGCUUAAAGGUCUCUUAUGGAACCAGAAGUCUAAACCAUCAGUAUCUGAAAGAUUUAAGGUCGGAAUUCCUUCCUCCCUUGGAGAAUUUUGGGGUAUUGAUGCUUUAGGAUCGAUAGCUAAAGUUUGGAAUUGAAGUGGUUGUGAUCUGGCUAUCGAAACUUCUUCUUCUUGUCUAGGAACUGGUUCUUUCUCUUUCUCAGGGAUAUAAAAGCUAGGAGACUUUCCGCUCAUUAAAUCAAUCAAAUUCCAAGCUUCACUAGCGGAUAGGUGGUGGAAAGAUCCUCCAGAGGCCGCAUGAAGGGUUUGCUUAUUUUUCCCACUAAGGCCCUCAAAAAAGUGGAUUAGAAGAACAUCUUUUGGAAUAGAAAGCUUUGGGCCAGUGAGGGUAAGGUUAAUGAAGCGGUCCCAUGAUUUGCCAAGAGAUUCUUCUUCCAGUUGUCUAAAAGAAAGAAUCUCACGCCGAAGUUCCGCCACUUUGGAGAUUGGAAAAUAUUUAGAAAGAAAACUACUAUAUAACUCCUUCCAAUCUCCAUGAACACUCCCUAUUUUGAGUUUGUACCAAUGUCUAGCAUUUCCCGUUAAAGAGAACGGAAAGAGCUUCCAUUUGAGGGUCUCAUCAGACAUUCCUUCUAUGCGAAGGAGGUCCUUCCAAUCUCCAUGAACACUCCCUACUUUGAGUUUAUACCAAUGUCUAGCUUUUCCUGUUAAAGAGAAUGAAAAGAGCUUCCAUUUAAGGGUCUCAUCGGGCAUGCCUUCUAUGCGAAGGGGGUCACAGACUCGAUAGAACUCUCUUAGGUGUGUGUAUGGGUUUUCCUCACCUUCUCCUGAGAAAGGUUGUUUUUGAACAAAUUCUAUGUAUUCGGGGUCUAUCUCAAAACUAGAUGCUAUGAUAGGCUUUGAAGAUUUUGGUGGUUCGAGAUGUGUGCCCAUAGGUCUAUGAAAUUCAUAGAUAGACAUGUUUGAAUUCAUGAUAGACCAGAGAUCAAGGAUUAGAUAAGAAGAAAGAAUAGUAGAGAUAAGGCAAAGGAUAAAAAGAAAAUAUAUUUUUUUAUUAUUUUUUUAGAAAAUGAUUAAGCUAGUUCGUAGUCAACUCAGCAACCGUUUCCCCGGCAACGGCACCAAAAAAUGCUUGUUGACACUUGCUAACACCACUUGAAUACUAGGUUGUCAUCCCCAGCAUGGCACUAGAGUGUACUAUGGUAUUUAUACGCACACAGAUAAUCCGCAAGCGCACGGAUACCGUUGAAGCUUUUACCUGGUUAAAGGUUUUAUCAUAUCCACAGGGAAACAGGAGAACUGAUCUACGCUCUAACUUAACCAAGAUAAGUAAAUAAGUGUAAAUAGGAAAGAUGGUAGAAUCGAAUAAGAACAAUAUUAAAGGUAAGAUAAUAGUGAGUGAUAAUAUGGGAAUAGAGAAUAGAGCAAUUAUAGUAUAUGGGCGAUGGUAGCAGAAUAGAGAGGAUAACUAUGGUUUCUCUACUUCAAAGGGGUAUGUCUAUGUCUGGGACGAACCACGUGAUAAGAGUACACCACAAAUGAUGCUUAUCCUUAGGCCGAUAAACCCUACCCGUCCUGCUAACGAGAGGUGGACUCCAGAGGACCAACGUAACUGUCACCUACGCGGCCUACCACACGAUCCAGCUAGACAGGGGAUAUCCAAAAGUAAUCUAGAUCUAAGCACCUCGCUUACACCUAUACUACAACUCUCACCUAUAGCGUCCUAUAGAUUAAAGUACUCAAAAGAGUUGUGAACCAGAACAUACAUGAUUAGUAAUUGCAUAAUGAAUUAGAAGUAGAUUACCAGAGUCAUCCCAUGAGCAAGCUUGAUUAGAGCUUGAUCAUGACGAAGUACAACCGGAGGAAGAACCGACAGGCUGGCCUCUCCUCUAAUCCUCCUUCGCUCUCCAUCUUGCUACUAUCUAGAUCUACUCUAGUUUAGAGAAGAGAGGAGAGCUCUCAUCUCUAAACCCUAGCUUUUGCUCUGUCUAUGAAUAAUGAAUAAUGAUCAAGGGGUGCCUCCUCCAGGGGCCAGGGGUCUGAUUUUAUAGUCCCUUCAAGUGAACCUGGGCCGUCAGAUCAAACCAACAUAGAUUGAACGGUUAUCCUUGAUCCUUUAGGUCGGUGGAGAUCUCCCAAGAAAUAGAGUCCUGAUUGGCCUCCAGAGGUGGGCGGGCGCCCAGGGCAGGAGGGCGGGCGCCCUGCCUAUGGCCCCGUUCGGCCUCCGCUUCCUUCCUGUGGCUUCUGGAGUCUUCUAGAUGUAAGAUAAUUGCGCGGCACGUUAAUAUCUCUAUUUAAUCCCGACGUGUAGGCCUUUCUUCUGUAUUUCCUGAUAACCCCCUGCAGAAAUAGACAAACACCAAAACUCGUGGAAUUCUGUCAGAUAAAACCCUAAGUCUAGAUGUUGAUUUCAUUUGGAUCCUUUUCUUUGUUUAUUUGAUAAUUAAAUUUGAUACUUAAGGACCGUCAACAGCAACUAUUCAUCAUAUCCAUGCUAGAGUUUUAUUUAGAUACAGAUUAGCAUAGCCACUUUAUUUAUUUAUUAAACACACUAAGCAAAAGAUAUAUAUAUAAGCACAAAAUCUUUAUUUGGUUUUUCCUGGCUUAUGUAUAUUUAUAUUCUAAUAUAAGUGUAAAGAUAGAUAGAAAUACUUAUCGGGAUAAAUGGGGGUGCUCUCCCCCAAGCUGAAUUUUGACGUAAUUUCCCUUGAUAUAGCUAGCAGGUGGCAGAGGUGUAUUUGAAAGUCAGCAGCAUUCUGACAGCGAUUAGAAUAUCCUCUGUCUGCUAGUCUUCUUGAUUCUUAAAUUCUGUGGAGCUCAAAUAGACAACAAAGCUUGUGGAACUGGUUAAGUGUUAGCAUAAAUAUCUAGCCUUUAUCAUGUUGAGACUCCUCAAUAAAUAUUACUU
rnacentral:lncRNA from 1 species